GGGCGCGCCCGCUCUCCGCCUCCCCCGCGCGCGCCCGCCGCCGCCCGGCGGCCUCCUCUGUUUUUGUUUUGAUGGAGCCCGCGUGCAGCUGGCGCGUGUCGAGUCACGUGCCGUGGGCGGGAGGGGGCCGUGGCGCGGGAGGCUAGGGCGCGGUGACGCGGGUCGAAGGGGCUGGCGCCCGCCGGGGCCACCAAGGGGACGCAAAGGGGCGUGUGGCCCCCGACGGAGCCCGGGAGUGCGGGUGGUCCUUCGCUGGCUGGUGCUCUUGGCGCUCCUCGGGGAGCAGUGACGGGUUCCUAGUCGUAGCACCUCGGGGAGCCUCGUCCAGGCGGAGGGCCGGCCUUCGCUGCUCAGCUCAGAACUCGGACCUUACAGGUGGUGUAUGCAUCCCGGUGGAAGUGCAGGCACUUCUGAGUGCUUCUGAAGGCUGGCUGCCCGUUUGGAGAGUUUUAAAAAGAAUUCUAACACCCGGCCCAAUCCCAGAUGAAUUGAACCCACCUCUUAUAGGGCCUGGAGAGUGUAUUUUUAACCCCGUCCUCCCCCUAAGUGAUUUUAGUGCAGAGUGAGAAUUUAUAGAAGUAACCAGCUUGAUGUGAUAGCUAGUUGUGAAAGCAUACUUAUUUAGGGACAAAACAAGAAAAAUAGCUAAAAUAGCCAACAUGUAUUGAUCUGUCACUCAGUGGGGUCUCCAUAUGUCAGAUACUGUGGCUACCCAAACAUGUUUCUACUCAUAGAAGUACUGUUAGCUCUGUUUUGCAGCUAGGGGAGUGGAAGCUCCGAGUUUUAAGUGAGAGUUGAUCAAGGAGGACUGCCCUGAUCCAGGACCUAGAGAGGUCGAGUUUAGAACCGCUACUUUCAACAGCCGUAUGUCUCCUGGAAAAUGUACCUUUGCUUAAGGGCUCCGUGUUUGUGUGAAUAAUAGUAGUUAUGCUUGCUUAUGUGGGUAUGUUUUACUGUUAAGAUUUUUGUCUGAAAAGCUUUGCUUCUAUAAGGGAGGAAAGUUACUUGGUGAUUCUUUAAGGACUGUAGGCGACCUUUUACAGAAGUUUACUGUGGACCGAAGAGAGAGGGGAUCUCCGUAAUUUGAAGUGAAUAGGUUCUCUGGAAGUUUCUUGUUCUGUUUUUGAGACUUGAACAUAUGUGUAAAGUGAAGGCGAGAGCCCUAAAGAGGCACAUAUUUUCCAAGUAUUUACGUGAGCAACCACAAGAGUGGUUUAGGUUGCUGGAUGCGAUACAGUUGUGCUGUGGUCAGCUGGAUGUACCCAGAAAUGCAGUACAGUACAGAGUAGCACAAGUUCUGCGAUUAGAAUUUUGGAGAGAGAGAAAAAAAAACUGGUUUGGAGUACAGAAACUGUGGUUACAUCUCCUUUCUCCCCUUAAUUUGUUUCAUUUGUCUUCUGAUCGGAUAAACUGUUGGUGGGACAUUUAGAUAUGGGAGUAGUCUAUUUCACUGGUAUUUUCUGUACAGAGAUUCCAGAGAAAACUCAGAGUAAACAGAGGUCUCACCCUGAAAACAAACGAUCCUAGCUAUAGUGUAUUUGUGACCAAAAUGUAUUAUUAAGAGGUACCGUGUCACAAAGAACUUUAUAUUCCUACAGAUUGCUGUCAAAUAUUGUUACCUGUAUGGCAGGCAUGGGUAUAUUAUUCAUCAUAUUUUAGGGAUUGGUUUCAUAUUACUUGCAGUUUUGGGGAGGAAAGCUUAUAGACCCACUCAGGCAAACCUGACCAGAACAUGAGUAUCUGUGGUCUGGUGUGGAAAUAGAUCUCUAGCCCUGUCUCCCUCCUCCCAUUGUCCACCCACAUCUUCCUUACCACCAAACACAUUUUUCUCCUGUAUUGCCAAACCACUUAGGGUUCCUGUGGACGGCUCUGCUUAGUUUGCUCUUCUGCUUCUUGGAUACCUCCUUCAGGAAAUGUUCCCUGAUUUCUCCUCAUAAACCAUCUAAAAAAUACGCUUCCUGCGUCAUCUCUGCAUUGUAUGUGUGUGUUUUAUUGCCUUAUAUCACAGCAUAUCUCACUGUGUUUGUUACGGACAAGGCUACUAAAUUGGGCUCUUCAAAGGUGGGAAUGGUGACUUGUUUAUCUGCACAUCACUGGCACACAGUGAGCACUUAAGUUUAUUGCAUUGGUUCACAAUUAAAUUUACUUCCUUUUAAGUUGCGUUAUCUGUGUCAGUGUUUUCCUGAAUCACUCAUCUUGGUUUUGAACUGUCCUCACCUCUUUAUCUGCUACCAGUUGCUAGGCUAAAAACACAGCUAAAAGCACCCCAAGACAAAACUUACAUGGGAAAGACACAGUACUGGUAACACGUCAAAGAAAUAGGAAGGAAGGGGCAAAAUAUCAGUUUUUACUUGUUUGUGAAUUUCAUCCUUCAUUGGCCGAUUGGAUGGUGUGAAUUUCCUUGGUUACUAAUGUACGCUGGGGGAGAUACCCCCAAGGUUGAUUUUACUUUUCAGCUUACUUGGAAAGGAAGAACUAGUACUACAUUACCAGUGGACAUGCUUAUAUGUGCCAUAACAGAGCACAGGUGCUUCGUCACAUUUCAUUGCUGUAAUUAUCAGAUUGAGUAUUACAGAGGUAUUUUAGAGCAGCACUGUCCCUUAGAGCUUUUGGAGAAGAUAGACAUGAUUUAUAGAUCUGUGUUUAUCCAGCACGGUAGUCACUAGCCACUUACAGCUAUUGAGCACAUUAAGUGUGACUGAUGAACUGAAUUUCUUUUUUUUUUUUUUAAAACAGGGUGUUAUUCUGUCACCAAGGCUGGAGUGCAGUGAUGCGAUCUUGGCCCACUGCAACCUCUACUUCCCAGGCUCAAGCAGUCCUCUCACCUCAGCCUCCCUAGUAGUUGGGAUUACAGGCGACUGCCACCACGUCUGGCUAAUUGUAUUUUUAGUGGAGAUGGGGUUUCACCAUGUUGCCCAGUCUGGUUCCGAACUGCUGGGCUCAAGCAGUCUGUCCACCUCUGCCUCCCGGAGUGCUGGGAUUACAAGUGUGAGCCACUGUGCCUGGCCAGAAUUGAAUUUCUAAUUGAUAAAUGUAAAUAGCUGCUAGUGGCUACUGUAUUGGAUGGCACAGUUACAGAGGAUAUGUCUGUGUUUAAAACUAGGAUUUGACGGGUCAACAUUUAGGCUAAGGUAUUCUGCCUUUAAAAGUCUGCAGUCAUCUUCUAGGACUUCACACCAUACUUCCCAUUCAUAGAUUAUAAGGUGCUUAGUGGGUGAUAUUUUUGGCCUAUGUGGGGCCUUCAUAUUAUGGAGCAUUCGUGUGUUCUGUGGCUUUCCAUGUAGUACAUGUGGUCCCCCCUUUUCAGGAGCUGAGUGGAGGGAUUAUUAGUAAUUAUGAUUAUGAGUAAUUAUUUACAAAUGGAUGCGAGCCCUUGGUGUAUAAACUGAAUGAAAUUCCUGUGAAUUUGAUCAGUACUUUUUCUGAGAUGCAUUGUGAGGGGAAGGAACUGUGUGUGUUCUUGUCUUGCUGACUGUUGUUAUCAGCAAGGCCUAAUAUUCUGCUCAACACCGAUCAGUGCUCAUAUAUAUGUGUUUCACCAUAUUGUCCAGGCUGGUCUUGAACUUCUGGCCUCAGGUGAUCCGCCCACCUUGGCUUCCCAAAGUGCUGGGAUGACAGGCAUGAGCCACGGCACCCGGCCCACGAUAACUUCUUCAGAGGAAAUAAAAUCAUGCACUGAACUAUGUUAGUCAGAAAGUUUAGGUUGUAAAAUCAAAGUUUGUUUGGUAAUUGUAUAUGUUAAUGGAGUCUGAAAAAGGACUGAAAAUAUUACCUUUAGUGUGGCACGACAUUGACAAAACAACUUAAACACGACAAACAGGAAUGGAAACAUUUCUUUCUUCAGCUUCCAAAUCUCAUGUAUUCUGUGAUUUUUUUUCUAUGGUAAUCCUAGCACCCAAGUUAGAAGCUUGCCAAACAGGAUAUUUAAAAUGUAAAUAGAAACAUGUUUAAUUGUGUAGAUGACCACUACUAGGCUUUGAAAGGUAUAUGUAUUAGAGGUAUAAGAUACAUCAAACAUUUGUCUAGAAUAAGAGCCCUAAGACCAAAAACUGUAGAUUUUAUUUUAUGUAGUAGAUCCUACAUUGGGGGUUGAUGAUGUAGCUGAAUAUUUGGUUUAGUACCUUUAAGUGGCGACACACAUAUUCUGCUAUCUAUACGAGGCAUCAGACUUAACCGACUUUGUGCUACUUUGUGUGUCUGGGUUUUAGGGCUGUCUUCGUCCACAACAGCUUGUUCCUAGGAUAACUGUUGUCUUCCUAUCAUUCUGCCACUACAUGUUCCACAAAUGAAAAGUAAUUUUAUCAUACAGUAAGUCAAACACAAUUGGAAAUGCAAAUCUGUUAUCUUUUUUUUUUUAAAAAAAGUCAUAGAAUACAUUCCAAGAUAAAAUAGGAAGACUUCUCUUUUAAGCAGUUUCUAGCCCUUUACUCCUCACAUUUCAAAUAUCUUUGGUGUGAACCUUCUGGGUGGGGCAAAAAAAUAAGUAAAUAAAAGCCCCAAAACAAAAACAAAUUAUCAACCACGUAUUCCGUCAAUUCCUGCUGUUGCCCUUGAAACCAAACGAAAACACAGCCAUAACAAGACAAAACCCACCACGGCUAAUAGCAACAAAAGUUAACCCAACCAACCAAACAGAAAGAGCCUGUGAGAUUCGAGUUGUCAUUUUUGUAGAGAGGUCAAUCAUGUGAAGUCCUUUUUAUUUUAUUAAAACAUUUUUUAUUUGUCUCUUUUGAGACGGGGUCUAGAGUGCAGUGGCAUGAUCUCGGCUUCCUGCAGCUUCAGCCUCCUGGCUUCAAGCAGUCUUCCCACCUCAGCCUCCCAGGGAGCUGGGACUACAGGCAUAUUCUACCGUGCCUGGCCUUUUUUUUUUUUUGGUAGAGACAGUGUUUUGCCAUGUUGCGCAGGCUGGUUUUGAAUUCCUAGCCUCUAGUGGCCUGCCCCCUCGGCCUCCUAAAGUGUUGAUUUACAGGGAUGAGCCACUGCACUCGGCCAAGUCCUUUUUUUAAUGUAUUAAAUGUAAAUAACUUAUGACAAAAAUACUUGCCUGUAUCUGAGUAGAUAGUAAUGAUAUUAGAAUUAAUGCUACAAAAGAUCAGGAUGUCUUUUUACCUAGAAGAUCCUAUGGGGACUACUUGGAUUCAGGUAUAUAGUUUAAGAAUCACUUUGAAGGUCACUAACUUAUAAGAGUUUGAGGAUGUUACUGGCUUCACUUCUUUCUCAUCAGUGGAGUGAUUGGAUUGAACCUGUGGUUCUCCAGCUUUGGUGUGUUUCAGAAUCACUCUAAGAACACACAUUAUUGGGCCCCACCCCAGAGUUUCUAAUCAGUAGGUCUAGGGUGGGGUCACUAAUGUAUAUUUCUUAUAAGUUUUCAGGUAAUGCUAACGUUGCUGGCCAGAGGGUCAAACUUUGAGGACCAUUAGUAUAGACAAUCUCUUCUAAAGUUCUGGGAUUUAUUUCUUUAUUUUUUUGCCUGUUUCCCUCCCCACCCUUUUCAAGUUUAGCAGUUAUCACUGCUUGAUUUCUUUUUUUUUUUUCUUUUUUGAAACAGAUUCUUGCUCUGUCGCCCAGGUUGGAGUGCAGUGGCGUGAUCUCGGCUCACUGCCACCUUCACCCUUUAGGUUCAAGUGAUCCUCCUGCCUCAGUCUCCCAUGUAGCUGGGACUACAGGCAUUUUAUUAAUGCUUUUACGAGUUAGAAGAGUUGGGAUAAGGUGCCAUCUGGAGUUUCUCUGCCUUGCUGAUCUGAGCUCAGACCUGCCAAUUUACGAGAGAUGAUUGAUAACAUCCUGUAACAGCUGAGAGGAAGAUGGAAGAAACAGAGAUGACUUGGAGUGGGACAGAAUAAACCACUGAACAGGGACAUGGAUGAAUCUGGAGAACGUCAUCCUCAGCAAACUGACACAAGAACAGAAAAUGAAACACCGCAUAUUCUCACUCAUAGUGCUUUGAUUUUCCCAUUGGGAAAAAUGAGGAAGCUGUGAGUACCAGUGGAAGGAACGAGCCAGGGAGUGGACUGGAACCACCUCAGAAGCUGUGCCCCUCAGCCCGGAACCUGCCCUGUCUCCUGCCAGCUGAUGAGGUAGGAGGCUCAGCACUGGCUGCUGGGAGCAGCCCACAGCAGCAGUGAGGAUCAGUAGGCCUGUGAGUUAGGAAGGAGGUGGCCCAGAGCAAGGGUCUCUGGAUCCUGAUUGUUUGUCUUUUCCAUGACUAGGAUAAGAAACCAGGGCUUAGCUAGUUGGAGAGUUACGAAAACCUCAGGUGACAGUCGUAAGGCAGCACAUAGUGAAAAAGAGUCCUAGGCAGGGAAAGUCCAAAAUCUUGGGUCUGGUUUCAGUUCACUCACCUAUCUCUGUGACAUAGCAGUUUCUUAACUUCUCUGAUUUUCUGAUUAGUGAUACAGUUGCAGGAAUGAAAUAAAAAUGGUUCUGAUUACUCAAAGAUUCAUUUACUGAUUACUCUUCUUGUGAUCUGAAUGAAGAAUGCAACAUCUCUCAAAGGGUAACUAUUUAAUAUUUCAGGAAAUGAGAGAAGUUAAGAGACUUUGCUGUAUUACACAGAUAAUUGACAGACAGCUGAGACCAGACCCAAGAUUCAUUCAUAGAAUGAGGGAGUUGAGAAGUACAUACUCUGAGAUUAAUCCUAAAUAAACUAAAGUCUAGGCAAGUGGCUGAGCUAGGUUUGCCAUGAAUCAGUCUGCUGGGUAUAUUUCUUGGUAACUAGUUCAUCUUUCCUUAAUUCAGUCAACAAAUAGGAUAUCAAGUUUAGUACGAUGAUGGCGGAUGUCAUGUAAUACCCCAUCUAGAAGGUUGUGUGCUUCUUGCCUUCCAUAACUUUUCUUAAUCUACCUUAAGCUUCCCUUCUGAAAGGUUUCUGUCUUUCCUAUCAGUCUCUUCUUUCCCCCCGAUACCUCUUGUGUUUAAGAAUUAAAGGAAGAUGAGCUAAGAAUAAAGAAAUACCUACAACUGAUUCCGGUUACUGGCCCCACCCUGCCACUUGCCCAGAGUCAUGGUAUAAAUUUUUUUAAUAGGCUGAAAUAAAAAUAUGAAUAGUAUUUUGGUAUUAAGCAUUAAAUUGAUAAAAGUAAAGGCUAUGAGAUAUACCUGCUCCUCAACCAUGUUAAUUUUUUAUUGGUAUUAAUAAGUGAUUGCUUAUUAAUAACAGGAAUUGUAUUGAGAAACAAAGUAGCCACGGGCCAAAUCUUUUGAAUUUCAAAUGUUAGUAUAUUCUAUUCUAGAAAAGUAGAAUAUGUCUUAAAUAGCUUUGUAAUAUGAAGUCAUCGGUCAGUCAGCCCCUUACACCUAUUAGAAUGUUUUAACCUUUAUCUCCCACGUUUUUGUUUCUAAACUGAGUGUACUUGGUCUGAUAUUUGUGGCAUAACUUACGGAACACAUAAGAAUAAUUCAGAUACUAUUUAAUGACCUGGUACAAGCUUUGAUACCUGAAGUGAAGGUUUCUGUGGCCUUAACAUUUUCCCCUUGAAGAAUGUAUUUGCUGUAAUAAAAUACAGUAUCUACUUGAAAUCUAUAAACUUAUGUGGGGUGUGGAUAAAUCUGAGCAGCUUUCUUCUUUGUGCCCCAGGAGCCCAUGUGCUGUCUAUAUAAAUAAAGCUUAGGUAAACAUGGUUGCAACCCGUGUUUUGUUUGAUUAUAUUAGUAUUACCUGAUCUUCAAAUAAUGAUGAAAAAUAGCCCUUAACCUAAACCAUGAACGGAUAUAAACUUCAGGGAAACAGUUUCUUGGAUAAACUUAAAUUCUCACCGUGCAUUACUCUGAUCUUAUAAUAUUUUUUAAAGCAGUCCUGGGGAUUUAUUUUUAAGGCAUCCAAAUGAAUUAUUAGUUCUCAAAAGCCAUAAUAUAUUCAUGGGUCAAUAUAUCCCCCAAACACUAUUUUUUAACUGCUCAGUUUAUUUUUCUUAGCAUGCUCGUCUGCUGCGUAAUUUUCUUUGCUGUGGGUCACAUGAUUCCUCCCGUCCACAACUCACGCACUUAAAAUUCUCACUUCCUGAUUGAGCCAUAAGAUUACGUAAAAUGUAAAUCAGGCUGAAUACCUAAGAGCAGGAAUUUUAAGGGGAAAAUGCCGUGUUCUUUUUCUGUUGUAUUAUUAACCCUUAAAUAUCGGAGUGAGUGUCUGCUCCUCUGUUUGUAUUUGGAAACGAGAGACUGUUAGGGGUUUUUCUUGGCCCUUCCCUUUCAGAUUGAAUCAGGCUUUGCUGCUUUCAUUAUAAAAAAUAAUGUACUAACUAGAUAGACGGUGGGAGUGGGAUCGUUGCAGGAAUGAAACCAAAAGGGUUCCAGUUACUGAGAGAGUCGUUCAUGUAUUAACUCUUUUCAUGAUCUGAAUGAAGAGCACAGCAUCUGUCAAAAGGUAAUAAUCUGAUAUUUCAGAAUUGGAAGUGGCCAUUUAGCCUUUCUGCUGCCUGAUAUAAAUGAAAGUAAUUUCUAGCAGGCAGGAUGACGCUUGUUUUACUCGAAUCUUACAAUCCAGCACAUUUUCUCAGAGCAGUUUUGAAGCUGUCAUAGUAACAGCGUGACAUUCGGAGGGUCUUUUUAGUAGUUCUUUAGCUAGAGUUAGUUACUUGUAUUAACUCUGGAUGUUUUUCCUUUUACUCCUCUUUGACAGACAAGGGCUAUAAUUGCUCAAAUAUGUAUUUUGUGUUCUAUAUUUUUUGGUGACUGUGGUUUAAGGACGUGAUGUUUUGUAAGUGGUUUCAGUAAAGGUUAUCAAUUGAUUUCAGACACGUUAAACUUGGGUUUUUAAUUUCUCUGUAAAAUUGCACUAUCGUUAUAGGACCAAGAUUUAGUUUUAUUUAAGAAGUGAAUUUUGAGAGAUGUUCCCACAAAUGCAAUUGUCAUUUGCUUCCAGUGGUUGCAACUGUCCUUUGCUUUGAUCUUGAUGUAUUUAGAAAAAGAACAGGAAUGCAGAAGGGAAACAUGUCAGGCUUACAGGAGAAAACUGUUUCUUAAAAUGCAACAGGCAGGCACAACACCAAAAGCACGUUCCAUAAAAGAAAACAAGCACAUUUGACUUUGUGAAACUUAAGAAUACAGUGCUGUUUGAAACUCUAAAGUACACUUUAAUACAUUCUCCGCUAGGAAGAUUUGUGGGAAUUUUUUAUUGGUGGAAAGUAGGUUGGAAACUCCUAUUCUUAAUAUUAAAACUCCGUGGCAGAAAUUCUUGCCAAUACAGCGGUCAGUGAGAAAGGAGGCCCGUUUCUUGGACAGGGAAGAGGAUCAGAAGAAAGAAUGGUCUGCACUAGGUCCAGACGGUAGGACCUAAAAAGUAUUAGAUAUACAAUGCUUUUGUUUUCUUGUAAAAGCGAACAGAGAGAUGUGACACUUGUAAAGAUCUUGUGCGUUUUGUGGGUUUCAUGCUAAGGCCACUGUCCUUACUGUUGUGUGAGUAUUUGUUCAGCUAUGGGCGAUUCAAGGGAGUUGGGGUAGCAGGGUGUGCAGCCAGCAGCAGGCAAGGUGCUAAUGCAUCCCCGGUGAUGUCAGGAGUUACGAGACAGCGGUUUCAAAACACUGCAGUAAACAAGGUCAAAGUGUCCCGUUUCGCUGGAAGAAGGUUUGUUUUUAUGAGCUGGACAGUACAUGGAUGAAGUAAUUUUUCAAAACAAACUUUAAAUUUAUACGUGUUUUUUUUCUUCUUCUUCUUUGGAUUUAAAAAAAAAAAUUGGCCAGUUGAGAUUAAAUAAUGGUUCCGUUUUUAAGCAGAAUUAUAUUUCAUAUAUUUUCCCAGUCUUGUAUUGAUUUUGUUUUUCACGGAAGACAUGAAAAUAACUUCUGAUUUAGGGAUUCUUACAUGCAGUUGUAGAGAGCAAGACAGGACCCAGUACUUUGAAAACACGGCAAGUGCAAGUCACCAUCCUUAGUAAACUAUUCCCUCUCAUUUUGUGCCUUUGACUCUUAUUUAGACAGACGUUUAAGUAUGAGAAAGCUAAUGGCGCAGAUUUCUGCUGACUGUGUGGCUCUCAUCUUAAUGCAUUUUCCAACCUUGAACCUGAGAAUGCCAGAGAGUUGAGUCUCUGGACAUCCAUCUGAGCAGAUAUCUGCUGGCCGCCUGGUUCCUGAGCUAACAAGUGGGUGUCCCAGGCUUGUGUGUGUAGUCACAACAGUGGAGGUGCCACGUGGCACCCAGAGGUCAACUGAGGCUACCGCGGGGCUUCCCGAUCUCAGAAGUGUGUCUUCAGUGUCUGAGAUGGACUGGGAACAUGGUGCAUCUUGAGAAGUGCAGACAUUUGUAGUUCCACGGGAAACCUGGAUGUAAGCACUCACACAGCUUUUAAAGUGAAAGCAGGGACCUUGAGGAAGGAAUUGCCGUCAUCUCAUUCCCGACCUGCUUACUAUGCUGGGAAACAAAGUAAGUUCUGUUUGUUUCUUUGUUAGUCUCUCCUGCGUGUUUUUUCUUGCUAACAUUAUUAGACACUCAAUAUCUGGCAAAUGCCAAGUUUUUCCCCUUCAUUGGGAAGUAGGAUAUAGUUUGUUCAGGAGCUGAUUACUGCUUUUAUCUUUUCUCUCUUCCCAUAUCUAGCGUGCAGCUUGCUGUUUAGAGAUAGUAAGAGAUUGAAAUUUAUUAUCAUGGAGAAAACAAAAUGUGUUUCGCUUUGUUUCUAAAUGGCCCAAGAUCUUUGCCAUUAGGUAAAUGAGUGACUCAGAUAAGGCGUUUUGCAUGGUGUGACCAGGAGUACCUCCAGGAAAACCACCCCAGUUCACCACCCUGAUUUCCAUUUGGAAGCAGGCAAAGCGGGUGUCCUCCAGACAAGUGUGAAGGCAGAGGGUCCUUGCGCAGGAACCGUGCAGAAACUAGGUGGGAAGGGUCACAGACAAGAGGCUGCAAUUUAAAAACGCAUCAGUAAAUGGCAAAGAGCUGUGAGAAUAUAAAUUAUUUAGUGGUGUUGAUACAGAUUUAAUAUAAAAAUGAGAUAAAAUAGAGCCCUAACCCCGUUAACAGCAACAAAACUUUGCUUUCAUGUUAGAGAGUUUUGCACCAUGUAGAUUUACGGAACAUGUGCUUAAUUGCCUCUAGAAAAUAAUGAAGAGGCUUCAUCACCUUCGUAGGAGAUUCUGUGACAUUAGCCUAAUUCCGACAUGUGGCCCCUGCUUUCCAUUUUGCUUGUUUGUUUUUUAUGUUGAUCCUCUCUCCAGAGACGUAAUGUGGAUGGAUUAACUUUUAAUACAAAGUUCUGUGGCUCUUGAAAAUGCAGAACAAAUAGAGAUGAAGAGUGGUUUGUGAUUUGUUGUUAAAUGGUCUUUCCUUCUAAAUCUAGGACUGAUUUUUACUGUAGAAUAUUCUUUUCUUUUUUUGGUGGCGGGAGAGGGGGGUCAACCUGAAGAGCAACACCUUGAAGGUAAAAGGUAGGAGCAUGACUGGAGUGUGGAACUGGAAAGCAGAAACUUCUAGAUCUAGUAUGGAAUGUUGUGAAUUUGAGUUAGCUUCUGUGUCCUGCGAAUUCACAUUUUAUCUCAAAGUGGUGCUGAUAGGACUGGAGGUGGCUGUAUUUUAUUUGAAACAUUCCAGAGCCUUUAUAGGAAUAUCUGUUAAUUAUUAAUUCCGCAAACAUCUCUAAGUAUCUCCUCUAUGUCCAGUGUUGCAGUCAGAGCUAUAAUUGUUUCACCAUUACAUUUACAGAAAUUCAGUUUGUAAAUGAAAAAUUAAGAACAGUUUGAAAGAAAGGCAAAUGAGCAGAGGAUUACCAUCGAAACCGUCUUGUUAAAGAUAAUGCCAAGUAAGCAGGACUGUCCUCUUCUGAGCUGCCCCUCCUAAUUAAAGGGAAAGGUGGCUGCCAUCUGUCUUCUUUCAUUCAAGGCAGUAGGGGGUCUAGGGUGGAAGGAAGCAACCCCCCCCUUUAUUUUUCUCCCACUCUUUUUUAUAGUCAGCUUUCUCCUUAGUCAGUGACCCAGAAGGUCAUUGAUGAUCUGUCUAUCUCAGAGUGAAGAGUAACAUAAGCACGCUUGGCACUUGCAGAAAAAAAAAAAGUUUAUAACAUGCAUUGAUCCAUUUAAAGUUCUGCUUGAAUUAUGUCUGAGAGUAUUGUAAUCUCCGUGUUGGUGUCUCUGCCCUGUUUGUUACCGAGGGCACUACUGGCAGGAAACAUGGGAGUUUUACUUUUAUUGAUUUUGCUUUUUCACGAAAAAAUGUUGACACUCCACUGGGCAUAAUCAGAAGAUGGCAGCAUGUGGCUAUGUACAGGAGACGUGGGGACGUUCAGGAAUAUUAUUCUUAUAAAAAUCAAGGACACGUGUUAAUUAUACAUACAUGUCAUCUCAGGAGAAAACAUGAACAAGGGUGGCAACAGGUGUCCAAGUUACUCAGUGGCCUGCUGCAGCCUCUUGGACCAAUAAUUGAAAUAAUUCACAUUGUUUAUCUUUCAUUAAGCAAUAAGUCUUUUAGCCCUUUUCUUGUAAGAAUAUGUUGCCGGAGAAUUUAGUUAGUUUGGGGUCAUGUCAUAAUUGCUUGGGAAAUGUAGAAUAGUCCUUCAACAGAAUGAUUGCAUUUUCUUGCCUCAGUUUCCCUCUCUGUAAAUAGAAAAAAAUACAUGCUGCUUUUAUAAAUAUUUAAAAGAAUAUGAAAUAAUAUUUUGUCUUUUGUGAGAACUAUAUUAUGACUGAAAAAUUCUGAAAUCUUCAGUUAUUUUUAUUUUCAACUUUUAUAUGCUUAAGCAAGGUGUUAACAGUCUUCUAAAGAGAUUCAGUUGUCACAAACCCGGUUUAGCUCCCAAGUAGCAGAUAUGGACUUCUCAGAAUGUACUGGUUUUUAGAACUCUCUUUGUGACACAGAAGUGUGGUAUUUCUUAAACCCAUAACAAUACAUCUGGAGAGCUCAAAUAUGAGAGUCAUGUCUGUAAUUUCAUUUAGAGCUUCCCCCCCCCCCCCAAAUUUGUCACCAACUUGCAGCAAGCUUUCUUGGGAACGUAGAUGUGUUUAUGUUGCUGAGUCUUGAGAUGAACACGUGUAGGCUUCUGAAGACACUGGUGCCUGGUUUGUAUGAUUGGAUGAUAACCUGAAAAUGGGUCACUUCCUAGUCAGUGAAGGGUACACAGGGCUGAACAGGCAGGGCUUCUUUGCUUUUUCCAUGUUUUUGUUUUCGGGGUGUGUGUGUGUGUGUGUGUGUGUGUGUGUGUGUGUGCGCGCGCACGCUAAUUUUAGAUACUCAGCUGGGUACUUAACUGGCUAUCCUUUGUAGCAUGUGAUUUAAAUUAAUUUGGUUUUACCCAUCAGUAUUUAUUUCAAGGGGACUAAAGAAACACAUUAAAUGUAUUUCAAGAAGGAGAUGUGAAAGAGAAGAGGGAAAAAAAAGACACAUUAAAUGAAUCACUUAAGAACUUUCUAUCUUCUUUUGACCAUCCACAGUGGUGGGAAAUCUCUGUCCUUUGAGGGUAGGAGGGUGCCAGUAGUUAGCUCUCAUGAAUAUGGCAGGUGAUCAAACCACUGAUUUGAGUCAUUGCUUUAUGUUAUAAACAUGUACUGAGCCAGCUACUACAUUUCAGUAGAAAGUACUGUGGAUUCAAAAGUGAACAGCUCAUGGGGUCUGGCAUUUCAGAAAGACACAGGUUAGUGAGUUAAAUGACUAGAUAAAGAGGUAGCACUGUAGACUACUGUACUGUAUCACAGGUACACGUGUGUUUUUAGAGCCCAGAAGGGGUCAAAAUAAAAUUUUAGGCGGGGCACAGAGGCUUAUAUCUGUAAUCCCAGCACUCUAGGAAGCUGAGGCGGGAGGAUCACUUGAGGCCAGGAGUUCGAGACCGAGACCAGCCUGGGCAACAUAGUAAGACCCCCAUCUCUACAAAAAUGAAGUAAAAUAAAUAAGACACACCUGGUGGCAUGCAUCUAUAGUCCUAGCUACUUGGGAGGCUGAGCCGGGAAGAUCACUUGAGCCCUGGAGUUGAAGGCUGCAGUGAGCUAUGAUCACACCACUGCACUCUAGCCUGAGCGACGGAAUAAGAUCCCGUUUCUGGAAAAAUGGAUGAGCGAAUUAAUUAAAUUUCAAAAUAGAGAUUUAAUGGAAAAAUGAGAAUUGUUAUGUACAUGAUUUAUGAAGUGGCUUACAUAAUAGAAUUUUGGAAAUGAAAGCCCUGAAAAAUAGCUUCUUAUUUUAAGGAUGAACAGACUGGGAUUUAUUUCUGAAAUUCUAUAAUUCCCAGUCAGUCGUAAGGCUUUCAUUAUAUAAUAGACUUUUUUCUUUUUAACCAAUGGUAUAUAAUAGACUUUUUUUUAACCAACAGAAGUUGGACCUCUUCAAAAUGUGGGGUCCAAAAGAUUUUGGACAUUGUUUGAAUAACUCCCUUCUCCAAAGGAGACUUUUUAAAAAAUGAUUCUUUCUGAUGUAUUAAAAUUGAUUAUUUUUGUCACCCUGAAUGCACCAAAGCAUUAUAUGUCAUGUUUAUUGCCAAGAGUAGCUAUAUAGCUUGUGGGAGACAGUUAACUUGAAGCCCUCUUGCAUCUGGAAGUAUGGGGAGAGAGAAGGCUCUUCACAUCCCCUUUCAUGUUAUAGUCUUUUUUUUUUAGAAAGAGAAAGGGAGAGAGAGAACAGGAGUCUUGCUCUAUUGCCCAGGCUGGAAUGCAAUCUAAAAAUAGGUAUUAAAAACCUCUUUCAUGCCGAUAAUUGUGCUUAACAGUGGCGACAGGAAGGAAUAAGGAAGGAAAAUAACAAACAGCCAACCAAUAUUUCAUUUUAGUCUGUGAAAUGCUAUGCAAAUACUAAAGAGUGAUUUACUUCCAAUUAUGUGGUCACUUUCAAAAUAGGUGUAAUGUGAUACUGAGAAAAAUGUACGUUCUGUGGACCUGGGGUGAAGAAUUUAUAAAUAUUCACUGAGUUUACUUGUUCCAGGUCUGAGUUCAAAUCAUAGAUGUCCCUGUUAAUUUUCUAUCUCGUUGAUCCAUCGAAUAUUAACAAUGUGGUGUCAGUGUCUCCCGCUAUUAUUGUGUGGGAGUCCACGUCUCUUUAUAAGUCAUUAAGAACUUGUCUUAUGUAUCUGGGUGUUCCUAUAUUGGGUACAUAUAUAUUUAUGAUCAUUGACUCCUGUUGUUGCAUUGAUCCUUUUACCAUUCUGUAACGUCCUUCUUUGUUUCUUUUAGUCUUUGUUACUAUUAAAGUCUAUUUUGUCAAAGACGAAAGUUACAACUCCUGUUAGUUUUUUUUUUUUUUUGCUCUCCAUUUGAUUGAUAAGUCUUCCAACAACGCUUUGUUUUGAGUCUUUGUGUGUCCUUGCUUAUGAGAUGGAUCUGGAUACAGCGUACCAAUGGGAACGUCAAGUUUUAUUCAAUUUGCCUGUCUGUGUCUUUGACUGGGGCAUUUAAUCCAUUUAAAUUUAGGAUUAAUAUUGAUAUUCAUGAGUUUAAUAUUGUCAUUUAAUGCUAGCUGGCUAUUUUGCCCAUUAGUUGACAUAGAUUCUUCAUUAUGGAGAUACUCUUUACCUUUUGGUAAUUUUUUGGGAUGACUGAUACUGGUUGUGCCUUUCUGUGUAUAGUGCUUCUUUCAGAAGCUCUUGUAAAGCAGGUCUGGUGGUGAUGAAAUCUCUGAGUACUUGCUUGUUCAUGAAAAAUUUUAUUUUUCUUUCAUUUAUGAAACUUAGUUUGGCUGGAUAUGAGAUGCUGGGUUGAAAAUUCUUUUCUUUGAGGAUGUUGAAUAUUGACCCCCACUCUCUUCUAGUUUGUAGGGUUUCUGCUGAAAGAUCUGCUGUGAGUCUGAUAGGCUUCCCUUUAUGGGUAACCUGACCUUUCUAGCUGCCCUUAGAAUUUUCUCCUUUAUUUCAACCCUGGUGAAUCUAACGAUUAUGUGUCUUGGGGUUGCUCUACUUGAGGAAUAUCUUUGUGGUGUUCUCUGUAUUACCAGGAGUUGAGUAUUGUCCUAUGUUACUAGGUUAGGAAAGUUUUCCUGAAUAAUAUCCUGAAGAAUAUUUUCCAGCUUGGAUUCAUUCUCUUCAUGACAUUCAGGUACACCUAUCAAAUGUAAAUUAGGUCUAUUCACAUAGUCCCAUAUUUCUUGGAGACUUUUCACAUUCCUUUUACUCUUUCUUCUCUAAUCUUGUCUUUUCCUUUCAUUUCAUUUCAUUAAGUUGGUCUUUGACCUCUGAUACCCUUUCUUCUGCUUGAUCAAUUCGACUGUUAAAACCUGUGCAUACUUUGUGGAGUUCUCAUAUUGUAUUCUUCAGUUCCAUUAAUUCACUUAUAUUCCUCUCUAAAUUGUCUAUUCUCAUUAGGAUUUCAUCAAACCUUUUUUCAAGGUUCUUAGUUUCUUUACAUUGGGCUAGAACAUGUUCUUUUAACUCACAGAAGUUUCUUAUUCUCCACCUUCUGAAGCCUAAUUCUGUUAAUGGAACACACUCAUUCUCCACCAGGCCUUGUUCCCUUGUUGAUGAGGAACUGUGAUCCCCUGUAGAGGGAGAGGCAUUCUGAUUUUGAGUAUUCUGAGCCUUUUUAUGCUGGUUUCUUCCCAUCAUUGUAAAUUUAUCCACCUGUUGUCUUUGUAAUUACCGACUUUCAAAUUAGGUCUCUGAGUGGACGUCCAACUUGUUGAUUCCCAGCACUGGAAUCUGAGCAACCCACUGUGCCGGCUAAAUCAGCGGUGUUAAGAUUCGUGGUGCUUUUCUGCCCGGGAAUCUCCGGUCUGGCUUCCCUCCUGAAUCACUUCUUCAAUCAGCUGAAUGGGCGACUCUGCCUUCGCGGAGCCCCAAAUGUCGACCAAAAGGGGACCUAGUCCCAUUUACUCUGCACCAAGAACCGCUGCGCCAGCCACAAGAGUCACUCUGGUGACCUGUGGGGCUUCUCCGCUGGGAAUCUCCUGGUCCGUGAGCAGCAAAAAUUCAUCUGAAAGUUUGGCAUCCUCUCGUUCUCUGCACUUUCACUGGGAGCUACAAUCCUGAGCUUCUAGUAAUCGACCAUCUUGGAUCUCUCUCUCAUGUUAUAUUCUAAAGGGAAGGGAUUUCCAUCCUAGAUACUAGAUGACUCUACUGUGGAUAAUUUCACUUACCAAUGAUAUAUGGGUGUUGCCCUGUGCCAGGAACUAUGCUAGGAGCUGAUGCCAACGCUCAGCUGAUGGGCUACAGACAUGAAGGCCUGUGCUCCUCAGUGGCGCUCUGUAGGUAGAUACAGAGCCACCAUCUACUGGGGGCUUCUCCUGAGUGUAACAGUGUGGGCGGGGACACGAUGCUACCCUCGAAGAGCUUGAAGCUAAGAUUCUGUGCACAGAUAAAUUUAGAAUAAAUGCAGAGAUGCUAAAACAAGAUGUCUUAGAAAAAAGAAAAACAGAAGAAAUGCAGAGGGAAAGAGAAAUGUAUAAAAGGUAGAUAGACACAACACAAGUUUAUAGGAAAGAAAGGUUAUCUGUGGCUGGGAUGAUCAGGAAAUGCUUUAUGGAUAAAGAAAGGUAAUGUUGGGCUUGAGGACUUGGAGAGAGAGUGUUUUCGUCCAAGGAACAUGAGCAAAGGCAUGGGUAGCGAUGGGAAAUGCCAGGGUAGGAGUAGCAAUGGGAAAUGCCAGGGUAGGAGUGAGCGGGAAUCGGAGUGGCCGGGAAUCGAUUUGUAGUUGCUGGGCAAUGGUGUGUGUAAAUGACCAAGGAGAAGAUCAGAUAGCAAAGGUCCUUGGAGGCCAGAACCCAGAGGGCCUUGCGUUGCACGUGACUAAAGGAUUUAAACGUAAGUUAUUGGGGAACAGUGGAAGAAUUUGAGUGGCAAGAGUCCCUGUCCUGAAGAGGCCUUGUUGGGGAUCAGCACGUGGGUGGCUCUGGACUGUGAAAUAGCCAGAGCUGGGAAAGCCUCUUAGAGGUGCUGUGAUGGUCCAGGAAGGAGGUGGGGAGGGCCUAGGUGAGGGGAAGGCCACGGGAUGUAGAAAAUGAAUUUAUGAGAUGGGAUUUAGGAACUGCCUGGAUAAUAGGGGUUGCCUGAUGGGAAGCAAAAUGCCCCCAGACUUUUGAACCCAGGUGCCAUUCAUUAUUUCUGUGCCACCUACAAGGCAUUAUUCAGCUAUUAGCUCAUUUAAUCAUCUCCUAAUCCUGUGGGUUGGUAUUUUCAUCCUCAUUCCAGAGAUGAGAAAACUAAGGCUCCGAGGAAGUUAGCAAUUGGUCUAAAAUUAUACCGUUAAUGGGAUCUAGAACGGGGACUUCAGUGCAGGCAUCCCUGACUCCCAAACCUGUGUUCCUUCUACUGCGCUAAGCUUAGAAGACAGCAGACGUGAGAGUGAAGAUGAGCUCGGUCCACGCUGUGCGUGUUCAGUGUCGGUGCUGGUGAGAUUCCCACCUGGAGCUGUCCGUCAAGUGUCUGGAGACACAAAGCCGAAUCUCAUGGACAUUGGGAGGAUUGAAGGUCAAGGUUUAAGAACCAUCUGCAUCCUUGUUUGUUUAUUCAGCAGCUAUUUGUUGUGUCUUCAGGGACCAGCUUGGCAGCAUGUCAGGUCAGGGAAGUUUAAGCUGUCUUGAGGGAGAUGUGGUUCUUAACAUGAGACUCUAAUGAUGAAGACCCAGAUAAAAUGUGGGACAGUGGUAUAUCCCAGGAUGGAAAUCGCGCGUACUCGGCAGAGCAAGAGAGGAACACAGUGUCUUUAAACCGAAAACCACAUGUGGCUAGAAUGGAGGGAACGGUUGCCAGGAAGUCAGGCUAGAGAGGUGAGCCGGAACCAGAACAAGAAAUGCCUUGGAAGCGAUGUGAGGCUUGGAAUUCACCUGUGAAGAAAAUAGUAGCCUUUUCUGAAUUCCUUGCCUCGAUCAUUGUCUCCAACAGAAAGUUAAAUGGCUGUGGAGUCUAGAGGUUUUUUCCUUCAGUGUGGGUAUCACCUGUUCUGAAAGGAUGGUACAAUGGCUAAUGGUAUCAGCUUGGCGAGGCCACAGUACCCAGAUGCUUGGUCAGGCAUCAGUCUAGAUGUCACUGUGCAGGUAUUUUUUUAGAUGGGGUUAACAUUUAUAUCAGUAGACUUUGAGUGAAGCAGAUUAUCCUUUAUAGGCCUCAUAUGUAAUCAGUUGAAGGCCUUAAGAGAAAAAGACUGAAAGAAGAAAAAGUCCCUAAAGAAAAAGGAAUUCUGUCUCUGGACUCCCUUCAGACUCAAGACUGCAACACUGGCCUGGCACCCUGGCUCACACCUGUAAUCGUAGCACUUUGGGAGGCAGAAAUGAGUGGAUCACUUGAGAUCAGGAGUUCAAGGCCAGCCUGGCCAACACGGUAAAAACCCAUCUCUACUAAAAAUCAUAAAAAUUAGCUGGGUGUGGUGGCACAUACCUGUGAUUCCAGCUAUUUGGGAGGCAGACAGGCAUGAGAAUCACUUGAAACCAUGAGGCAGAGGUGGCAGUGAGCCGAGAUCAUGCCACUGCACUGUGGCCUGGACAACAGAGUGAGACUCCACCUCAGGGGAAAAAAAGCUGCAACAUCAACUCUUCCCUGGGUCAUCAGCAUGCCCUGAAGAUUGCAGAUUUGUCAGUCCCUGUAAUUGCAUGAGCCAGUUCCUUAAGGUAAAUCUCAGGAUCUAACCACCCUCCAACCGCCCCCCACACCAUCUCUUUCUGUUUCUCAUUCACACAUAGACUCUCUCUCUCUCUCUCUCUCUCUCUCUCUCUCUCUCUCUCUCACUCUCUCUCUCUCUCUCUCUCUCUCUCUCUCUCCACCCCCCAAUGAUUCUGUUUCUCUGGAGAACCCUGACUAAUGCAAAUAGGAAGAUAAAGAAAUUUAAACUGUUUGGCUCCCGUUGGUAUUAGCAGAAAGCUGCAUCAGGCCUCUCUAGGAGUGCUCGGUGUAUGUGUGUAUUGCUUUUUGUAUAGGUGAGAAUAGUGAGUUGUAGAAGGGAUGUGAUGCACCCACAGUCAUGCAGAAAGUGGGUGGGAGAGCCGAGGAGAAGACUCGGGUUUCAAACCUCUGAUAUUGUUCAUUUGCUUUCUCGCUAUUUGGCCCUCAUGUUUUCUUAGCAACGUAAUAAAGUUACUGAGUUUGCCAUGCGUAAUUAUUGGUAAUGUUUAUGGAAUGUUCUCUGUAUGUCAGGUACUGUUUUAGUUGCCUUACGAGUAUUAGUGAUUUUAAUCCUUACAACUACCUAAUGAGAUAGGGAAUCAUAUUAUCCCAUUUUACAGAUUGAAAGCAAUGAGUCCAGUGAGCGAUGUGGCGUUGCUGCACAGCCAGUGAGUGAUAGAGCUGGGCUGAGGACCCAGGCAGCCUGGCUGCAGAGGUCGUGCUGUUUGUGACUCCACCGCCUCUCAGCUUAGGAUGCCCCGAGCACAGCUUUUCAUCUCUCCCUUUGGAGUCGUUGUCCAGAAUAUUUAUGAUGGUAGUGUGCUCUUGGUAGGGCUUGUGUUAAAAGAGAAAAUGCGUAGAAGUUAUUUUUCAAGAGGCCAUCCAAUAAUGCUUCUUACCUCCUGGAAAAACAGAAAACAUUCCCAUUACAGCAGCAUUGCAGACCUCCUGCUGGGGUGUAUUUUUAACGACUAGACUUUCCUGCCUAGCCUAGUGACACUGGUGAGCGUCUGAUUUGUCCCGGGUCUUACAGGAGUGUGAUAAAGUCGUGAUGAGAGUUGGCUCCCGGUUCAGCAUUUGGGGAUGUGUUCUCGGGGGGAAAAUAGCAAACCUCGUCGUGUGUGUCCCUUGGUUCUUUGAGAGAACCGUUAUCCUGCCAUUUAUUAGGUCUGUUGUGUGCUGGAUGCUGUUUUGAGUGCUUUAUAAACAUUGUUUCAUGGAGUCUUCUCAACAUUCCAGAAAGGCUGGCAUUACCGUCCCAUUUUACAUGUAAAGUAACCAGUUAAGCAGUUAAGUCACAUUUCCAAAGUAAGUAGCAGAAUCAAGGAUUAAACCGCAUAUGAAUGACUCCAAGCCAGUGCUCUUGGUCACUGGCUGUGUCUAUACUGGGUAUUGCCCUGAAGCUCACUAUUCUUCCCCAUAGACUAUGAACUUCAUGAGGGCAGGGAUUUUUUCACUGAUUCACCACCAUACUUCAGCACCUGCCAAGUACAGUUCCUGACACAUAGUAGGUGCUUAAUGCAUAUACAUUGUGUGUCACUUAACAAGGGGGAUAGGCAGUUUUUUCAUUGUGUGAACAUCAUAGGGUAUAUAUACACGAACCUAGAUGGUAUAGCCUACUACAUACUUAGGCAAUAAGAUAGGCCCCUGUUGCUCCUAAGCCACAAACCUGUACAGCAUACAACUGUACUGAAAACACUGUAACACAAUGGUUAGUGCUUGUGUAUCUAAACAUAGAGAAAGUAGAAUCUUGCAGUGUGUUACAAUGGCUACAGUGUCACUAGGUAAUAGGAAUUUUUCAGUUUCAUUGUAAUCUUCGGAGACCACCAUCACGGAUGUGGUACCUCAUUGAUGGAAACGUUAUGCUGCACCCAACUGUAUAUUGAGCAACUAACAAACUCUGUUCUCUGUGAUUGCUUCCAAAUGGCUGUACGGCCAGGGCCAAAGAGCAUAGACCUGUGAGUGCAUCAUGGACUCAGGUGGGUUUAGCCCUCAAGCUGUGAUUCCAGGGCAUGUUAACUAGUGGUGGAGUCUCAUUCCGUCACCCAGGCUGGAGUGCAGUGGCACAGUCUUGGCUUACUGCAGCCUCUGCCUCCCCGGUUCAAGCGAUUCUGCCUCAGCCUCCCAGGUAGCUAGGACUACAGGUGCACGCUACCAUGCCUGGCUAUUCUUUGUAUUUUUAGUAGAGAUGGGGUUUCACCAUGUUGGCUGGUCUCGAACUCCUGACCUCAAGUGAUCUGCCUGCCUCAGCCUCCUAUAGAGCUGAGAUUACAGGCACUGCCGCUCGUUACACAUACACCUACCUUAGUUUGUCACCUAUUUCGUAAACAUACCUUCUUUAAAAAAAGAAAGAAAUGACAAUACAUAGAAGACUGCUUUGUAAACUGAAACUAUAUUAUUUAUAUUUGUAGCAUUUUUUUCCCCUUGAGGUUAAUUUCCUUUGUUUCUCAUAACUGGAAACCAAUAAUUCAGUGCCAUUAUAUUAUAUAAGCUUAUUUUUCCUCUUAGAAAUACUAAAUUGUAAGAGGUUUGACCGAAAAAUAUAAAUCAAAAUUAGGCAGUAUUCAGUGUGUAGCCUCCAUCUGUCUUGUUGUCUUUAGUUGUGCAAGUAGAUGAUGAUGAUUUCUGGCAGAGCUAAAGUAAAUAAUGUGAAUUUUUUUCCUCAUAAAACAGAUGGCAUGGUCUAGAAGACUAGCCUCUGGGCUUGUAUGUUUCAUGAAGUAGAUGGGUCUGAGUCCAUGUUUAUUUUGUGAGCCAAGGUUUAUGCCCUCUUUUAUAAUUUUCUUUCACCAAAAAUUACCUGGAUAGCUAGAAAGUCUGUUGUUUUCAGUGUAAGAAGCCUUAGAAUCUAUAUCCAGACCAAGGAGGUAGAUCCACUCAGCAAAGACUCAUCGGCAGCCUUCUUUGUGCUAGACUGUCACCUUUGCUUGGCUUUGAGAAGCUUCAGAGUAGGGCAGUUUAUGUUUGGGAAUGACCAGUCAAAAUAGCAAGAUAGACAUAGGCAAGAAUGUAAUUUUAAAAAUUUAAGUGGGGAAUGGUGGAGCAUGAAUCAAAACAGAAGAUAGUCCUCCCUUGUUAGAACUACAUAUACCAUGGAAUACUAUGCAGCCAUAAAAAAGGAUGAGUUCAUGUCCUUUGCAGGGACAUGGAUGAAGCUGGAAACCAUCUUUCUCAGCAAACUGACACAAGAACAGAAAAUCAAACACUGCAUGUUCUUACUCAUAACUGAGUGUUGAACAAUGAGAACACAUGGACACAGGGAGGGGAACAUCACACCUGCGGCCUGUCAGCGGGUAGGGGGCUGGGGCUGGGAUAGCAGUGGGUGGGAGACUAGGGGAGGGAUAGCAUUAGGAGAAAUACCUAAUGUAGAUGACAGGGUGAUGGAUGCAGCAAACCACCAUGGCAUGUGUACACCUAUGUAACAGGCCUGUGUGCUCUGCACAUGUACCCCAGAACUUAAAGCAUAAUAAUAAUAAGGAAAAAAUAAAUACAUUUGAAAAAGGCAGGCUCUGUCAAUCUUCUGAGAGAAUUUUUGCUGCCACUCCUCCUUCUGAAUCUCUAUUCUGUAUUUUUUAUUCUUUUUUUAGUAAGGAAGAAGAAACAUUUCUCCUGAAGAAUUCAUUGGAAAUUAAAAUUAACUUGCGCGUUUUGUAUUCUUCGGAAUGGGGUGAAGACCGAUUUGCAAGGGCAGUGCUGGAUUUGAUCAGCCGUAGGAAAGAAAGGCGGUUCAUGCAGUCACCCUGCCUAGCACGGCCCCGCCACGAUGGAGAAGUGGGGUUGCUUUCAUUGUACUCCUUUCAUUUCUUUUCUUGCCAAGCCCAGUGGCUUCUGUUAUAACAUGUGGCAACUUCUCCCUUGGAAACUGACUCAGUCCAAGUUACCAUAAUAUUUAGGACCAGCUACAAAGACGUUUCUUCCCCUAAACUUGUGCCAAAUCUAAAUCAAACUCUCUUCCUUGGCCACUCAAAUAGCUCCAGCUCAUAUAAAAACACUAGAGGCCUCUUUCCGUUUUAUUCCUGUUCAAACAGAUAAACAAGGCACAUCACACCUAGUGUGGCUUUGAGCUUGAUCGCGUCCUCCUAACUGUCAUACUAUGUUGAUUUUAAGAAUUGUAGCUUAGGUGUUCUAGAAGGAAGAAAACGUAUUCUGAGAACAUAGCCAUGGUCUGUGCGCUCAGAAUAUGUCUCCUUCCUUCUAGAACAUCUGAGUUGUAGAAACUGCCUACAGUAAACUGUUGUCAGUGCUGCUGGUGGAAGGAAGAAUGAUUCUGACGUCACUGACCUUCAACAGGUGUGGCUCUAAGCUUCUGGGCCUCAGAAGCCCUGACCUCUAGAGGCUUGGGGCCAGCAGGGCCGGGAGUGAUCUCAUUGUGGAUGGCCACAGAUCAUCCACCUGCCAAACAGUUAACACUCAGCAAGUCACAUCAAUUCUGCUUUUAAAAAAGAAAAUCUGCAAAAUAGAAAAAAAAACCCGAUUCUUCAUAAACAAAUUUGUUCUGAUCUGUAAAUAGCCUGGUCAUUUCCCCCUUGGCAUUUGGUACACAGUGUACAGGCAUAUUUUAGUCAUCCUUGCUCAAGUAAUUAUAUUCCAUAACCAACUUCAUUAGCAUAAAUUAACUUCCUCAUAUUUUUAGCAAGAGUUACUUUCCUUCAUUGCUUAGUUUAUUGUUUUGAAAUAUGAAUUACUUUCAGCACAGUUCAUGUUUGCAGAUGGCAUUUCUGUCUUUUAAAUUUGAAAUUAUUUGAUAUAUACAAAAGAUGAUAUGUAAUAUACAAGUAAACUCUAAAGCACAAUUUUAAAAGGUGCUCAGCGAACCACCAUCCAACGUAAGAACUGGUUUUUUACAGACACUUGGAGAUCUCUCGAAGCAUCUUAUUCCUAACAUUUUCCUGCUUUCCCACUAUUCUGAAUUUUGUAUCUAUAAUUCUCUUGAUUUUUAAACAAACAAAUAUAUUUUUCUCACAGUGUAAUGAGUACAUGUGUGUUGCUAAAAGUAUGUUGAGACAUAAAAAAUAGUAUCAGACUGUGUCUGGUCUUUCUGAGUUUUUCCUCCAUUUAUAUUUGUAAAGUUCAUCCAUGUUUUCUGGUAUAGCUACAGUUCCUUCAUAUUGCCAGAAUAUUCUAGUGUGUAAUAUAUCAUGAUUUAUCCACCCUUUUGUUUAUUAUGGGGAGGGAAACAAGGAGCCCUUUUUUUAGGCAUGUUGAGUCUGAGGUCUCUGUUAGAAAUCCAGUGGAAAUGCUGAGUGGGCAGGUGUACGCUUAUUCAGGAGAGAGGUCUGAGAUGGAACUGACAGCAUGUAGAUGGCAUCUAAAGCAUUGUCUUCCUGGCAGUUCUUACAGCCCAUCAGCUGGGGGUGUGGUGUAGCUGUUGUUUGGUUUCUUUAUUUCUUAAAGACCUAUCUGCUGUUUUUUGUUUGUUUGCUUUCUCCCAAAUCUGCCUGGUCACUUUGCUGAAGUGUGACUUGCAAGUGAGUAAACGAGGAGAGUCUGAGCUUCAAAGAAAAUGGGGGAAGUAUUUCGCCAGCUCUCAUGGAGUUCUGUGAGAUCCAGAUGAAAUGCUACAUGUAAAUUUGCCUUGUAAACUGAAAAAAGUUAUGUACUUACUUAUUAUAUUUGACGAUAGUACCUUGUUGGGUUCCGGUUAAUACCUCAUGUUCACUGAGUACUUGCUUUAUCUGUAUUAGCACAUCUCAUCUUUAUAACAAUCUGUGUGAAGUAGGUACUGUAGAUUCAUAUUUUAUAGAGGAAACUACAGCUUGUAAAUGAAAUGGUAGACCCAGGAUUUGAAUUCAUAGAGUCUGCUUCUAGAAGUUGUGUUGUUAGCUCCAACGCUAUACUGUCAUACUGAUUGCCUGCCUGCCUGCCUUGUCCCCCUCCCUCCCUCCCUCCCCUGUUUUUGUUUUUGUUUUUGUUUUUGUUUGUUUUGAGACAGGAUCUCACUCUGUCACCCAGGCUGGAGUGCAAUGGCAUGAUCUUGGCACACUGCAACCUCCGCCUCCUGGGUUCAAGUGAUUUACCUGCCUCAGCCUGCUCAGUAGCUGGGAUUACAGGCGUGAACCACUGUGCCCAGCUAAUUUUGUGUUUUUAGUAGAGACGGGGUUUCUCCAUGUUUGUCAAGCUGGUCUUGAACUCCCGACCUCAGGUGAUCCAUGUUUCCACCCCCAGCCUCCCAAAGUGCUGGGAUUACAGGCCUGAGCUGUCAUGCCCUGCCCACAUUUGUUUUGUAUUGAUAAACUAUAUACCUCUAGGGGAUCUAGCAGAAAUUUGAUAGUGAAUAAUUUUACUGCAAUAAGUACUUAUGAAUUCUUUUUAAAGCAAGGAAGUCAAGCUCCCGCCAGGGAGAACACGAUCUGCCCUGAGGGCCAUUGACAGACUGACAUGGGUACAAGGACUGGGUCAUGGAUCGCUGACCCUUGAUUCUGUCUCCCACUGAGCAUCCCAAAGGGGCUGAGACCUCUGCUCUUGCCACUGGGCUUCAGCCGGGCCUGGAAAUGUUCUCGCAAAGGAAACCAGAAUGCAUGAUGUCCUGGAGUCAGCGGGUCACAGCUCACUGCCAUCAGGAGAUGUGAUGGACAAGGGUCCAUUUCUACGACACCGUGGUGAUACAGGUCAGGACCCAUGCGAAUUAGCCCUGCCAUCUGAAUUGGCACCUCUCUGCUUUUCUCACUGCGUGGCAGGUGCCUUGCCGUUGGCUUCAGAUGUUUGUGAAUGUGUUUCCUAGAGCCAUGUCAGUCAGGAAGAAGAUGUAGGUAUUCAGGAGAAGGGAGAAGAAAAUCUGAAUUAGAAACAGCUUGAGGAUGGAGAGUAGUACCAUCCCUAGGGAGGGAUGGUACCUUUGUCAUCAGAAGAAUGCCAGCCAGAUUUUAGUUCCUCAGCUAAUAAUACUAUUUGAGAAAUUGAUGGAGAAAUGUAACUGGAAGGUUUCAGCAAGAUGAAAGCUGCAUCUCCAAGGCUGGACUCGUGUGUUCAGAUGGGAACUGAAGAGUCACAAGGGUACCCAUUAUUUCCAUGAGUUCUCACAGUUCCCAGGGCAGCCACAGAUGGUGGGAGUUUGUCUGUCUCUGCCUUGACAGAAGGACAGUACGCAGCUGUGGCAAGAAAAACGGCCCAAAUGGGUGCUGCACUCAGCAGGUCACAUUUCCUGUAAGUGUUCCUGGGUGAGCUGCUUCAAAAGUAGAACGCUCUGCUGGGACUUUUCUUUCCCUUAGAAAGGUUCUUUGAGUUGGGCAUGGUGGCUCACACCUGAAAUCCCAGCACUUUGGGAGGCCGAGGCGGGUGAAUCACCUGAGGUUAGGAGUUCGAGACUAGCCUGGCCAACAUGGCGAAACCCCAUCUCUACUAAAAAUACAAAAAUUAGCCAGAUGUGGUGGCAGGUGCCUGUAAUCCCAGCUGCUCCAGAGGCUGAGGCAGGAGAUUCGCUUAAACCUGGGAGGUGAAGGUUCCAGUGAACUGAGAUUGUUCCACUGCACUCCAGCCUGGGUAACAGAGCUCUUGCUCUGUCUGGAAAAAAAAAAAAAAAAAAGAGAGAGAGAGAAAGGUCUUUGUUCACACUUUCUCUGCACUGCUGCAGAGUGUGUGUGCCCUUUCCUGCAGCCUGUGUCGGUGGCUGGGACUUUCUCGACAGCCAGACAAGGCGGUGCAUGAGGCCAGUAGGACCAGGGGCUGCCUCCCAGUGCUGAUGGCCCUGUGCUGUGUGAGCUUGGGCAAGCAGGUUCGGCUUGCUUCACCUCAGUUUCCUUGUUGCUGUGUGGAUGGGUUGCUCGUUUGGAGAAUUAAUAAUGAUGGAAUGUAAAGUGCAGUUGGUUUUGCUGGAGGAAGAACAGGCGGUUAGAAGUGAGGAGACCUAGGCAGGUGAUGGGACCUCUCAUGAACUCCAAGGUCUCAUCAGCACUGGUGCCCUCGUCCUGACAUUGUGGGGUUCGUGGCAUGAUUGGAGAGACCUCUCAUGCUCUCUGGGCAGCCGCUGUAAGUUCCUCCUGCUAGCCGGGAGAUCCACCGUUUCAUGAGAACCCUCCCUCAGUGACACAACCUGCCUUCCUCACUGUCAGGCUCAGGUUGUCCUGUGCCCCACUGAGCCUGCUCAUUAUUGAUUAAUGAACUUGUAAAAUGAGAAAUGUUGUUUUACCAGAAGCGACAUGUUUAUGCGGAUGGUAAAAAUGAGAAAAGUUGGUUGAGAACUGGCUCUCCUUUACAUGAGUAUAUCCAAAGUUCAAAUCUGGGCUUUGUGAUUAUAAGACAUGUUGAGUCAAUAAAAUGAAGGAAAUGCUGAGCAUUUAUCACAAUUCUUUUUUUUUUUUGAGACAGGGUCUUGCUCUGUCAUCCAGGCUGGAGUGCAGUGGUGCGAUCUUGGCUCACUGCAACCUCCACCUCUUGGAUUCAAGUGAUUCUCAUGCCUCAGCCUUCUGAGCAGCUGGGAUCACAGGCGUGGGUCACCAUGCCUGGCUAAUUUUUGGAUUUUUUUGUAGAGACAAGGUUUCACCAUGUUGGGCAGGUUGGUCUUGACCUCAUGGCCUCAAGCAAUCCAUCCACCUUGGCCUCCCAAAGUGCUGGGCCUACAGACAUGAGCCACUGCACCUGGCCUUUCACAAUUCUUAAACCAUCGACUUAGAGAAACACAGACCUGUGUCUACACACAGAUCACCUGACAGGCCCUUUGCAGAACUACCUGCUGUCAUGGGUGAUGUACAGACGAAACAUGGAAGAUCAGAAACUGGUCAUUCCUAAUCUCUGCCAUAAGUAAACAUUUUAGUUCAAUGUUAAAAGGUCAUUCAGGGUUAUUAUGAGAUUCGAUGAGAUCAUGGCUACAAGGAACCUUUAACUGUGUGAAUGAAAAAUCUGAUCAAACUGCAGAGGCACUCCUGUUUACUAAAACUGGUGUCGAGGCUGUUUCCGCCUUUCUUUCCUUUCCCUCCUCCCUUCCCUUUUCUUUUCUUUCUGUCACCUUCCCUCUCACUUUCUUCUCCCUCUCCCUCUUUCCUGCAUUAGUGGUUUUUUUGUUUGUUUUGCCCUGGCUGGAGUGCAAUGGCACAAUCUUGGCUCACUGCAACCUCCACCUCCCGGGUUCAAGCGAUUCUCCUGCCUCAGCCUCCCUAGUAGCUGGGAUUACAGGCGCCUGCCACCACGCCCAGCUAAUUCCUAUAUUUUUAGUCGAGAGGGGGUUUCCUCAUGUUGGCUAGGCUGGUCUCGAACUCCUGAUCUCAAGUGAUCCACCCACCUCUGCCUCCCAAAGUGUUGGGAUUACAGGCAUGAGCCACCAUGCCCAGCCCCGGCAUUAGCAGUUUUUACACAAGCAGUGCAUCGGCAUGAAUCCUGUCUUCAUGGCACUUACACACUAGCAGAGGAAUCUGGCAGCAAAUAAGCACACAAAGGCAGCUGUGGGGUACGAUGUGCCGUGACUGAAGGGACAGACACUGAGAGUCUAAAUAAAGCCUGGCAUGUGUUAACCCUGUGUGCCUAUUCAGAAACCAGGAUUCAUGGCAGCUCUGUUGUUACCUAUUAGAGGUAGCUUUGUAAGCAUAAAGAGUUUAGUUUUGUGAAGCUAUCUAGUAUAGAGUCGCUCUUGGAGGCUAGCAUUUUCAUAGAAAGGGUGGGUAGAUAGAAGUUUUUCUAACAAGCACAACUGUCAGUCUUUGAAAACUAAUUUCUCAUGUGUACAUUGUAGGAUUGGAAGAUAACUGUGGUUGAGUGUGAUAAACUGAAACUUUUUAAAAAAUGUAUUAUUAUUUUUUUAACAAGUUAACUUAGAGCCAGAUAUGCUGAUUCUCUACCAUUUUCAAAAGAGGAACUGGAAAAGAGAGAGCUCGUUUAUGUGGUAUUCACAAUAGUGUCUGUUCCUGAAGAAAAUUCUUGGAAAAAUCCCAUGAGUGUCCUCAGACUGAAAACAGGGAUGUAGUCUGCUGUCCCUGCAGGACUCAGGAGGCCAGGGAGCAUGUGACAGCAGGAAAGUUCCCAUCCCUGCCCUGCUGGGGAGCCCUCGGUGGCAAGGUGGCGAGUUCAGGCCUAACUUCAGAGCAUGGGUACUUCUGCAUGGGUGCUGGAAGGGUGCUGCAUGGGUGCCGGAAGCUGCUUGGCACAGUGCGUGUCCUGUUUUCUCCCACUUGGAAAGAGGACUGUGGAAGUCAGGUCUUCCCGGUCCUCACCAUAAAGCAAGCAACGAAUGCCUUUAGUCCAGGUAACAUGUCCAGCAUUUAAGUUCUCCGGAUCUCUCUUUGGAUACCCUGGGAAAAGUCUUGUCUCUUCUUAGGCCCUUCUUUCUUAAAGCACCCAGGACUUUUAAACUGACAAAUUUUUAAACAUUUACAAAUAGAGGAGAAAAUUAAAGCAAGAAUUUGUGAAAGCUGAAAAUGAUCUUUACAACUUGUCUCCUUCAGAGUAGAACACUGGAGCAUUGAAAGUCGUUCGUGUUUGUGAUUGAUCACAUCUUUAAAUAACUUUAAAAUAAAGGUCUCGUUUUAAUGGUAAAAGUUCACGUCGCCAUCAUUUCUGUGAGGUUCUAGAUCUUUUGUGAACAAAUUAAAUACAGUGCUUUCUUUAUAACAUGAAUUAAAUCUAGAUCCGAAUGAUAUUUGGCACCUUCUAAAUACCCAGAUGGCCACUGCGUUUGCCUUGAAGUGAAGACGUGUGUGGAGUUUUAAUCACAUGUUUUAUUUUUUCUCUUUUAAAUAUCGCCUUUUCAAUAGUUGCUUGUUAAUGAAUGACCAAUUGUUUACUGCAGUUUAUAACCAGGAAUUUGAACAUUAAAAAAUUCUAAUCGGGAUACAGGUUGAAAGACACUUUCCCUCUCAUUCUGUCUUUCUUUGUGCCAGAACAAUGAAAAUAAAUUGUCCUCCCUUUGGAAACAUAAUAGUUUGAGAAAUGUUAUCAUUCUCUUCUUGAAAACUUAAGUUUAAUAAAACAGUUCAGAGGAAAUGUAAUUAUAGUUCUUACACUACAAAAAGCUCUUAUAAGAUAGAAACAGCAGUAGGGCUACAGUAGAUUUUACUUCUCAGGCAUAACUGCCACUUGGAAAAGAAAGAUGUAGUUACAAAAUUAUUUUUGCUUUAUCUUCUCCAGUGUUUAAUCACAGAACAUACUGGGAUUGUUUUUUUUUUUAAACAGCAGGAACAAGACACAAAACUUAGUUAUCUAUCCAGGUAAAAUAAUUUGAGUCCAAAGACCGGAUUCCAGAACAGACCUCAUGUCCCUGUUGAGGGCAUGGGUUGUCAGGAAAGCCUGGAGGCAGAGGGCUAGAUUGUGGUGUAGGGUAGUAAGUGACAUUUGUUUUUGUAAAUCUUCAUAGUAGAUUAUUCUCAUGAAAUAAGAUUGACACCAUGACCUCAGGGAAAGAGUGCUUGGGGAGCUGCUCAUUCGAUUAAGCAAAGAAAGAGCUGAUAAAAGGGACUGAGGGUCUCAGAACAGUUGUUUCUUCUGCUGAACUUUUCCAGAUAGGAGCACAGGAGUCAUGAGAACAGGUGCUUCCAUUGCCCCUCCACAUGUUGGGCUGGAUCCACACACUGCCAGCGCAUGUGGAUACACACACACCCCUCAAAGACAACCCUCCAGCCUGUGGUUUUCCAGAAUUAGCUUUCCCACAGUACCUUGAACACUAUGGGUUCGGACUGGGGUUUGGGUUUGGUGACAGCUGUCAGCGCUCCAAAGGCAGAGGACUGAACUCAGGGCAAAUCCGUGGCAAGAAAGCUCUUUUCUGUUCCGUGAAAGUCGCGGAUGAUACUUUCAGAUCCCAUCUGCAAAUUGCCCAACGUGGCAUUGAUCGUGGAAACAAGUGAUCUGACACUCACAUAGCUAAAUAUAAUUUAUAAUUUUGAUGUGAGGCUGAAACAUGAAAGAUCAUGCUUUUCAAACUGCUCUGAUGACUUACACAGACAAUUCAUUUUCGAUAAUGGUGAGUGAAGCCUGCCAGCCUCUGAGCGUUUUUCACUCAUUUGUUCAAACACCUGCAGUUGGGUACUAAUGCACAUGUUUAAUUGCUCAAACUUAAAUUAUAAAAUCCCUAAAAGGAUGUUUUUAUCCCAGAAAAUCAGUCGGGUCUCUUGCAAAGACUGCCUGCUUUCAUGAGCUGCUUGUAUUUUCUGGGAUGCUUACGUGCCAGCGCCUGUUAGAAAAGGUUUGCUUUUAAACACGGGAAGUUGAGCCCUUCAGGGAAAGUGCCAAUGUCUGAACCAUCAGCAAAAUCACUACACCCAUUCCCUGGGAAGUCUAGUUUGUCAGAAACAAGUUUGAUUCAGGAACUAUAGUUUAUCCAGGUUCCAUGAAGGCAAUUAGCACUGGGCAGAGGCUGUUUGAUCAGCCUAGAGAGACCUCCUUUAUGCCCAAAGCUCCAGUCAUUUGUCUCUGCUCCUGCUGUCUCGCAGCAGCCGCAGAAAACAUCGAAACUGGAUGAAAAUGGCCCUGCCCCUGCGAUAGAGCAGGGCGCUUCUGGCUUGUGCCUUGUUAUUUGUCCCUCCAGUGGUUCCUAGCUGUUGUGACGUCAAGGCUGCCAUUCAGAGCAGAGAAAAAGGAAACCGUGGCCUCUCUCCGCAUCAGUAGCCCGGACAAGCUGUUGUUUCUCAGGCAUCCAAAGCGCUUUCUGUCUGGCAAAGCUGUGCAUUCCAUGCCUGGGUGACCUGGUUAAAUGGAGGAAACCAAAUGCUAUCCACUGAAUGCUCUCCAAAACAAGCAUUCCACCCUGCGCGUCUCAAGCACAGGCUUCACUGCCUCCGAGGACUGUGAAGGGAACAGCAGCACUGCCUGCGUUCACUGCUGGCAUAUUCAGCUUCUGGCCAGAGUCUUAAAAAGGAGAAAAUAAUAUCCUCAAUGACCUCGAUUAAUACACACUUCACCAAUGUCUUUGUGCUGCCUUUGGGGUCAGUGCUACAAAAUCCUUUUUUAAAAAGGGAUUUGGGAUCACAGUCAAAGUUCAAAACCGCUGAAGUGCCACCUCUUCCUUCCCAUCUCACUUCUGCUCACCCCAUUCCCCAAUUUCAGAUUUCUGAAUUCCAGAAAGGCUCUUGUAUGUGUGAAUAUAUUAAUCUUGCACCGUGCCUUAUUGAAUGUAUUUGCACAUACAUGAGAAAGACUCACAAGUAUAACGCAUGGAUCACAACUCCAGGGUUUUCUUAAUGAAGAGUAACACCUGCUUUUCAGAGAAAAGGAGCUAUUUCACAGUGCCACAGAAUUCUCCUAAGGAGCAAGCAAAGAUCUCUGUAGCAAACAUCAAUCCUGCAAGGCCAAAAGCUCACUAAUGAAGUUCUGAUCACUUAGAGUGACUGCAUUAGAACUGACCAACUUCAGACUAAAUUUUCUGAGGACAUAUCUUCUGGGGUUUCUUUCUGGCAUGAGAGACAACUUUAUUUUAUUAGAUUCUUGGAUUAGAUUAUACUCACUAGAAAAAGCAAGGUUCCUACAACCACACUUUGUGUUCCAGAGUUGUCUUGGUUAACUCAAUGCACAUUUGAGGUUUUAUGUUACAAAUCCCAAUAAAUCUUUCUCAGAAUAGUCCAUCUCUGAAUCGUUGAAGGAAGAAUAUUUGCAGGAACCAAAACUAUUUGAUAUGUACACCAGUGUGUAUACACAUCUUACUUAGAAAGGAUCGUGAUACACAGGGGUGCCUUUUAAGAGCGGGUUAUUAUACGACAGAAUUCUUCCAGAUCCCUGACUCGUCUUCUGAAAAAAAAAGUGGAGAUCUUCAGAUAACUGGAUGAAGACAGAAUGGAUGGAGUGAAUUAUGUAAAGUUAGGAUUCAGACAGAGGGUUUACAGGGCCGCCGUCUAGUUUUGCCUCGGCAUUCAAACCUGCCCAGGGUCCGGCCUGAUGCCAUACAAUUGCCAUAUCCACACUGGUAUAGAUACAGUGGUGGGAAUGGGGUGGGGAUGCUGAACAUGGCUUCUUGCUGGGUGCUUUGGUCUGGGUGAGCCUGAGAUCUGGAAAUGAGAGAAAAACUAGGACACUGCUUUCCAUUGUGGGCUGAAGAAUUAGUUCAUUCUUUGUUGGCUACUAGUUGCAUUCAGUUAAUCAUUUUCUUCUUUUUUCUCCUGUUGCCACUAUUUCAGGAGGUGCCUGUUAUCUGAAGGUAACCGAUAACAGACCACUACUACUAUUUUAAGAGGAUUUACUUAAAACUGAGUCAGAUAUUUUUAAAGUCACUUAAAAAAGAGAGAGAGAGAUCUUAUUUGGAUUAAGUCUUGAAAAAAAUAAAACAGAAGUUGAAGCUUAGUUUUAUAUAAUAGAAAUUUGAGAUAUGAUGCACAGCAUGUUAUUUCUUAGAAGAAAGAUUGAAUGUUGACUUGAAAGCAGAAUCAUAUGAAGAGGAUGAUUUUUGUACAAGCAUUCGAAUUUCCCCAAGGACUCUCUUAAUCUUUCAAUAUACAGACUGUUCUGUUGAAGAGUCUACCUCUCACAUAAUCACCUCUGUUGACUUUCUCUUCUUCAAUCGUUAACUGUUGAAACUGUCUUUCAUCCUUAUUUGUAAGUGACACUGUUUGACUCAUGCCGUUCUCCAAUAUCAUUUUUAUCAACUGUGUGAAAACCUGCGAUUUCACCUUACAAGUUAACUACAUUGGAUUUUCAUUUUAUUGUAUGACAUUAUUCAACCAGAAAGCGAGCAAGAAUAGAUUCUGAUGUUAAUGAGAACUAACAAUAAGUGAUCACGUAUUUGUCAGUAUUUUCAUAAGGAAACUUUGUUUCCUUAUGCAACUUGGUAACUACAGGGAUUCAAAUAAUGAUUACCCAAGUAAUGAAUCCCCACCCCCUGCCAAGUACUGUGUUAUAUUUAAAGUACUCAGCGUGCUUUAGUAGACUUUAUCACAUGUAGAUUUGGAAGCCACCCCUGACACUUCACUGAGUCCUGAAACCUUGGGUGCGCUGUUCACAGAACCUAAGAUUCUUGAUCUUUUAUGUAGAGUAAUAAAACCAGCCUUGCAUCGUGGUCAUGAGGAUUAGAAACCAUGGAUAUAAAACCCCCAAGUAAUACCCUGUGCAUGAGCUUAAUAAAUAGUCAUCAUUAGGGCUAUUGUUUUUGUGUGGUACCUUGCAUUUUAUAGGAGACUUUUACACUUAUUUAAUUCUUUACAUAAGCCCAGAAGCUAGAGAGCUUAAGUUUUACCCUCUAGACAUUGCAAAGACAUAGAAAGCUUUUGAGGAAUAUAGCGACAUGCAUUUCACUACAUUUUAGAAGACCAUAAUUGGUGACUGUAUAUGCUGUGCAUCAGCUAAUAACAUUUGAUAGCCAUUUUCUUCAUGGUAUAGGAGAGAAUACUAAGGCCCAAGGAUAUUAUGUCCUUUCUUGGCAUCACAUGGUUUGGCUCGGGCACAGCCCAGCCUAGAACCCAACCUUCCUACUGCCUGCAGUGUUUCUUCACUGCAGUGUUUGUUCGCUGGCAAGGGAACCAAUUAUAAAGGCUGUCUCACCUGUCCCAGAACAGAGAAAAAGGUGCACCCUGGUGACUGGAAACGGGAGUGGGAGGGAGAGGAUGGAGGCAGCAGACACUGAAAGGAAGCAUUGACUAGACUUAGUAACAGAAUGGCUCAGCUCGGCUCAGUGAAAAAGGGAGUCCAGAGGCCAAACUUGCAAGCCUGGUAGAACAGCUAUACAAUAAACUAAGUAAAAUCAGUAGAAUGGGGUUGGUUUUUUGCUUCAUGAUGAAUUUAAAGGGACUGCCCUAUCCAGAUAAAAAUAUGUUAAGGAUAUAGGCAGGAGGGGCAGCUACUGCUGAAGAUACAGAUUUGAAAUUAAUGCCACAGAAGGAGACCUGAAGGCAAUGUACUAACUAUAACUCUCUCUCUCUCUCUCUCUCUGUGUGUGUGUGUGCGCGCGCGCGCACUUGCGUUAAACUAGAUUUGUUGGCAUAUCUCCAAUUCAAGCCUGGGUCACGUGAUUAUGUCGUAAUUUACUGCCCAGUUAAAAUCGCAGACUGUUACACCUUCAUCAGAAGGAAGAGCGAGUUCCCUAGAUCCUUGUUUGUGUGUUUGUUUUGUUGAAUGGAUCGUGCCGAGGCACUGAGAGACAGACUUUGCUGGGCCCUGUUUUGUAAACAAAUCUGUUCACGCACGCUUUCUUCUAUCAUUGGAUGUGUACACUGGCUCUGAUUUUCCCACCCGACACACAGAAGCUUAAGCAUUUAAAGCCUGUGUUCUUUUAGAAGUAGGCAAGCAUCAAAGAAAAAUGUGCACACACAUUUAAAGUGUGCGCAUCUACCCUAAGUAAGUCUUUGGAUCUUUACGAUUUUAACUCUGGGCCGUGUGCAAGUAUAUUUCAGCCUACUACACACGGUAAACUGACAGUCCCCACAAAACUAUGGACUGAGCUAGGUGCAAAAGAGAAAGUCCUGACGGAGGGGAAGGGGAGAGGAAAAAAAAAAGAGAGAAAGUCCUUUUUACCCUUAAAGUCCAUUGCAUGGGCUGUGGUGGGAUUAGUCAUUCCAGAUGAUAAAACAUAAUACUCGUUUUCCUAAGUAGGCGUGUUUUAGCUCUUUCUUAGAUUGGAAUAUGAACUUAAUGUGUAUAAUACAUACAGUCACUUCCUGAACUUAAAGUUUUUUGCAUGUUUAAUAUUCCAGCCAGGUUUCAGUUUUUAUGGCAGGAAGCAUGUGAAUGGUUAUGACAGGAGUAAGUAACUUUGAUUUUAUGAUUACAGUACAGGAAGUAACAUUUCACACCAAAUAAAUCUUUGGGGGAAAAGUGCUGGCUCAUAAAUUUAACGUACGUAAGUUUUCCAGAAUCUUGCAUACAGUCACCUUUGCUCUCUUAAAUAGAACUAAAUACCUGGCUGGUCUCCUUUUUUUCUUCUCUUAACUUUUUUUUGGUCAGUAAAUGUCUGUUUUAGAAAGAGGCUCUGCGUGUUUUGCUGUGACCCAACAAGACAUAAAACCAUGAAAAGAUUCUAAGCAAAAAUAAUAAGGAACAUGAAAGGCUUGAAAACGAAAUAAAAACUUACUUUUUCCUUCAAGAGUAAAUAGGCUAGGCCUGGUAGUUCACACCUGUGAACCAGUGUUUUGGGAGGCUAAGGUGAAAGGAUUGCUUGAAUUCAAGAGUUCAAGACCAGCCUGAGCAACACAGCAAGACCCCUUCUCUACAAAAAAAAUAUCAAAAAUCAUAGCCAGAUGUGGUGGCACAUACCUGUAGUCCCAACUACUCAGGAAACUGGGGCAGGAGGAUCACUUGAGCCCAUGAGUUUGAGGCUGGUGUGAGCUAUGAUCGUGCCACUGCACUCCAGCCUGGGCAACAGAGCGACACUCUGUCUUAAAUGACCAAAUCAUUUUUCAUGUUAAAGCCUGGAAGCCUCCAAACUGCCUCUGAGGCAGGCUCCUUCCAGUGACUCCUGCAGCCAUGAUCUGCAGGCACUUGGGAGGAGCAGCCUGCGGAUGUCGAAGAGGCUGUUGCCUGUGAACAAGUUUAUAGAUUAAAGCAAAGAAUCAGAUGGAACUUCAGUUACAUUCAUCAUAAGCAGAACUUGAAUAGAGGCUUUGUUUUUCCUUGAAUAAAAAAGCAAAUUGCAGGAAGAAAAUAUUUAGAAAAGACUUCUUUCUUCAUCCUUUUCAUCUUAAAGCCUGAAGAAGUUGUAAUGAGAAAAAUACUGUAAGUGACCUUGGUUUCUGAAGGUUAAUAUUACACACACACGAAUUAUGUGAACAAAUGGAUGGAUGCCUGACAGAGUAAAAUGUAGAGCUCCAUCGAGAUGCCUUCAUAGCCACCUGUGGUUGUGACACAGUGGUGCAUCAUUGGGCUGGGAGUUAAAGGAUGAAGUGAACCUUUAGCUCUGUGUCUGGGAGCCCCACUGAACCACCCCAACUGAAAACAGGAUCUCCCCAUCCCUUCUACCUGUAAAACUCAGAACCACACGUUGUGUGCAAAUAAGUAACUUGCAAGUUACGUGAAACUGUUUUCAGAGGAUCAACAGAGUUACCACUGCUGAGUUGCCCUGAAUCUUCAUUAAAUUUUUACAGAGAAUAUAUCUGCAUGUGACAUGAUUAAAAAUCUGACUUGUGUUUUUAUAGUCUUUGUAGGUUUUAAGGUAGCUUCCUACUUGCUGUUUUCCUUGCUGGGCAGCCAACCUGGGUGUUACUGGCAGACAUGCUGAGGGCAGGCUCUCAAGGUCAAGCUUCCUGGCUCUGAAUCCUGGCUCCACCACCUACUGAUUGUGUAACCUGGGUGCAUCCUUAGUCUUCCUGGGCCUCAGUUUCCUUAUCUGUAGGAAGAGGAUAAAAAUAGAACUUACCUCCAGGGCUGCUGUGAAGAUUAAGCGAAUGGACAAUAUAGCUUCGGAGCUGGCCCUGCAUGCCAGUGUUCUGUUCUUGCUGAUGAUUAAACUGACUUAGAGAGGUUGGGUGAUAUGCACCACAGCAAAUCAGCAAAAAGAUGAACCGGAACUUGAACACCGCCUUAGGACGUCCCAGUGGCUGGUGCCCUUCUGUUGUGAGACCACUCUCUCCCCUGCCUAUAAAAGUGCCACGAAAGAGUGCACUCCGUUUCAUUGUUUAAGAGAGAACUGAGUAAAUGUUAAACAUGAAGGACAUUUGUCACAGGUUUUCCUUUGUUUGGAGAGGGUAGACUCCAUAGCACUUGAAUGAUGUCCACAGCCUAGCAAGGAGCUGGCCAGCCUCCAUGGUUUAAUCACGUUCUCAAUAUCCAGCCUUAGAAACAGCUCCCUUUAGGUCCCCAAAUCAACAGGAGUUUCUAAAGGAUAGCAGUUUUUUUACAACUGCUGCAUCUGUUAGAUUCAUGUUCUCUCUGCAUCCCCCUACCCCCAGGCUGCCAUUUCAUGAUCUUUUUGUUGUUUUGCUCUGCUUUUCCUCUUUUUAAAACUUCUGCAUUGGCUGCCCAGGACUUAAGGGGAACUUUUCUGAAAUAGGAACAAAUUGCGCAGAAACAGAGCUGUGAACUUGUGUGUAUACCUGACAUAGUGGGAGAGGGAAGCUCCCUUCUAAGUAAGAGAGAAGAGACGAUACUCUAAUCACUGAGUGGUGGUCAGGCCUGUCAUCAAUGCUUAUUCUUUUGCUGAGAUCAGUAUCAAUGGGAUUUUUAAAAAUUGUAGAUAUUUAAAAUUGCUCUCCAUGUAAAGGGUUUCUGUUUCUUUGACUGUAUCAAAGAAUACUUUUUUUCUACUGAGGAGGUUCAUAAGGUCUCAUGGGCAGCUGCUAAGGAGAUGACUAUUAUGUCGUGUAGUUGUUCUAAAAUAAAAAUUUACUUCCAAUUAUAGGUGCUUUUUUAUUUUUACUCACCCCCAAUUGGGAUAAUCGCUAAAGGCCAGGAGUUGGAGACCACCCUGGGCAACACAGCAAGGUGUUGUCUCUACCAAAAAAAAAAAAAAAAAAUUAGCUGGGCAUGGUGGUGCUUAGUUGUAGUUUCAGCUACUCUGGAGGCUGAGAUGAAAUGAAGUGAGACCGUAUCUCUAAAAUAAAUAAAUGAAGUAUAUCAGGCAAAUGAUUUCCAUAUUCUUCUUGUUAAAAUAUCAGUUUGGUAAAGAUUAUAAAAGAGUAUCACAUCCCAGGAAGUCAAGGCUUCUUUGAGCCAGGAUUGCGCCACUGCACUCCAGCCUGGGCAAUAGGAAUGUCUCAAAAAAAAAAAAAAAAAAAUCACAUUAGUGAAAAUUCCCUUCCAGAGUAUAAAUUGCAGAUUAUGUUUUUAUAUAUUUUUUAAAUAUUUAUCUUGAGUGUCCAAAAAUGUGAAAUAAAAGAGUUGGGGUCUGAGUGGCAAAGUGCUGCCAUGUUACAGGUUAAGGGCUUCCGUGUAUUGUGCGAUAAAUACAGGUGUGGAUUUGGGUGAUUUGUUUUAUCCUUCAGUGCCCAUUAAGUAGAAGCUUGUAUUUUCCUCCUUCCUCCUUCAAAAGCCCCCCUCCCCACCAUGUAGGCACAUGGAGGCCUCAAGUUAGAAGCACAUUCACAGCCUGAAGCUGAAGGACAGGCUCUGAAAAAUCUGUUCUUUCAGCAAAACGUCUACUGAUUUCAGAAAGUGAGCUUUGUCACCAUUGAUACUCUGUAAGGUGGGAUAAAAGCUAUUUUUCUUACCCACUUGGCCCAAUUGUCAAGAAAUGCUGCCCUUCUCUCUGACAUAAAUGAACAGGUUUGACUACAGCCGAGAGAAAUACAAAAUGUCACAUUUUAGCCUUAGUGGUCGGUUUUCAAAGAGUGCCGAGUGUGAACACGGUGUCGGCUGCUCUGUUAAUGUGGCUGGGUCUCAUAAAUAGGUAUUUUUCUGUCUCCGUCAUGGACAAAUCUGAAAAAGUUUUUUCAUCUCAUAAGCUCAGGGGAUGGCAUUUAGAGGCCGAUUUUCGGCAUCUUAGUGCCUUGUCGGGAAGAUGAAUUCCGUAUUUGAAAUUUGGGCACACACAAAAAUAACUCUUUCUCUUUCCUUGAAGGGUUAAUGCUCCAGCCAGCCUCAGAUUGGUUCGCUUGAAUCUUAAAAUUACUUUUCUGGUCACGCGCACUGAAGGUCUAAGCAUUUGUGAAAUGUCUUUUUUUUCCCCCCUCUUGAUGCUGUUCUCUUUGGGCUGUCUUAAUUACACAGGGGUUGAGAAACCAAAUUAAAAUUAGGCGUGUCUGGUCAACAGCGAUCACGUUGCAUGCUUUUAGCUGUGCUUGUUGAAGUUGCUUCUCCUCCCUGAGUGGCUUUCUUCCCCACUUUUUUUUAAAAGGAAAUAUCAUAAGCUCUUUCAGAAAUACUCACAGGAAGUGAGUGUCCGUAUGCUGGUUACUCACCAGCAACUGAGUGUUGGCAGGUGGAGAAUGCUACCGCAGCCUGCCCAGACGGAUCUGCAGACUGGCCCCAUCGCAGAGGAUUAGACGCAGGGUGCAUGGAUCAUAGGGUUUUUGUAUACAGAGGGGAGUUUUAAGAGGAAAUUGGUCACUGCAUGUCAUCUCGAGGGGUGGUGAUUCAGGGGGCAGGGCUGGGGGUCAGAAGGCACGUGGCUGCCAUCUCGGAGGUUCCUGCUCACUUUUCAGAGGGCAGGCUGGCUUCUAAAAAUCAACGCUCCCUCCACCCCCAAACAGCGAUUCUUUUGCAGUGAAUCACUUCCAGAAAUGAAUAGCCACAGUUUUUUGGAAUGAAUGUUGUGAAAUCCCUCCUUUAUAAUGGCAGGUUUUCAGUUGGUGGUUUUAUCAGAAUUUCUCAAGAUCAAAACGAAACCUUCUCUUUAAAAAGGAAAAAAAGUACUGUCGAUACAGAAAGCAAAAGUAUUUCCAGUCUCCUACUGAACUGUCACGGCAGACCUCUGUAUGUCUAUUUAGAGAUGUAUGUCCAUAUAUUUGCCUGAAUGCGUGAGUUCUUGGAAGUAUGGAUUCAUUGCCAGGAGCUGGUGAUUUCCUAUGCAAAGGUCGCUAACUAGAAGAACGGUUACACUCGGUGAGUAGGUGGUAGUUUCUGAAGAUUAUUGGUAACCCAGUGUUGGUCGUCUUGAGUCAUGGAUUUAAAGGAUAGCUAGCAAACUCUUAAACACUUCUGCUUUAUAUGAUACAGAGCAUGGAACUGCAGGACUCACAGACAGUUGUGAAGGGUUUUUAAGAAUAUGAAUUCUUCGAAUAAUCAGUGAAUCUUUUGAAUAUACUAGACCUGUGGAGGAGGAAGGAGUGUUUUACAGAAGGAAGUGGUUUGUGGGGGCUUUUAAAGGUACAGUUACUCCUUUUCUAUAUUUAUUUUCAGCAUCGUUCAGGUCCUCCGGUAUGAAAGAAAUAAAUGGUCUCAACAGAGAAAAAGUUAUGCUGACUCUUUAAAUGAAGAAACUUGAUCCUCCUGUUACUCUUAAGUGGACUUUUUUCUUCCUAAAUAUUCAUAAGGGAAACUAUCCCAUGAAGGCAGCUGACUUUCUGUCGAUCUCACGACAUGGCUCUUUCAGAGCCCGGUGGGGUCUCUAUGCGUUAUUGGCAGCACUGCUAUCCAGGGGCCCAGACGGGGAAUAGGGUUACUGGAAACAGGGAGUGGAGCUCAAGGAAUUGUUCUCUCUCCAGAGUGGAUAAGAUGUUUGACCUACUGACUCAUUUCAUAGGAAUUAGGAAAACAACCUAGUGUGGUUUUUAUUGUUAGUCCUGGAGGAUUCCAAAAUCUGUGUCUGCUAAAUAAGAUGAGCUGGUGAGAGGGAGCGCUGGCAUUUGGCAUUUCCACUUGCCUCUUCUCCUGAUGGAAUCCAAUCCUCUGCUUCCAGGAUGAGUCCAGCCUGCGCUUGGGGAUCCUUCGUACGACCGUUCAGUGGUGAGUAGGUGCUGAUCUUCUGAACAAAUGCCUCCUGAGGAUUUCUGUGCCUGGAAAAUGACUGUUAACAGAUUGCUUUUACACCCUACGUAAGUAGAGGCUUCUGCUUAUAAGUCAGCGUCAAGGGAGUUUUGUUUUAUUUUGUCCCAGGAUGAUUCCUCGGUACAUUUUUAUUUUUCUUUUUUGACAUAGGGAUUUGCUCUGCUGCCCAGGCAAGACGAGUACAGCAGUGUGAUCACAACUCACUGCAGCCUCAACCUCCUAGGCUCAUGUGAUCCUCGCACCUCAGCCUCCUGAGUAGCUGGGACCACAGGCAUGCACCACCACACCUGGCUAAUUUAAAAAAAAUUUUUUUAUAGAGACAGAGUCUCCCUUUGUUGCCCUGGUUUCAAACUCUUGGGCCAAGUGACUCUCUGCCUCAGCCUCUCAAAAUGCUGGGAUUACAGGUGUGAGCCACCAUGCCUGACAAGCCUGAUACAUUUUUUUUAAAUGGUUGUAUUUGAUCUCGACUCUUAACCACCCAACUCUCAGUUUACUGUCAGGAAGAGUCUAUAACAUGAACUCCUGCUUAAAAUCAAGGGUACAGAUCCCAUAGUCAGGUCUUAGAAUAGAAAGAGGAGAAGGCAGCUGAAAAUACUCAAUAUUAUGUAUUUCAGUAAAUUCAGCUGGGAAUGCCAUUUAUAGGUCCAAGGGUUUCUCUUCUGAUUUUAGUAUUAGUGAGAUGGCUUUGCAGUCACUCUAGAAUGUGUCAGUAUAUGGCAAAGCGUGUGACAGCAAGAUCUCUGCACCCUCUCCGUUUACCAGCUAUGGCAGAUCUCUUAGUCACAUCCCUGUUAUAAUGUGCUCAUGGAAAACGAAUGUAUUCCUUUUAUUAGCAUAGCUGCCAUUUACUGAAUAUUUACGUGUGCUAACGCUCGUUGAAAUGGCUUCAUCAUAUUUCCCUGAUUUAAUCCUCACAACAACCGUAUGUGCGAGGUCCAGUUAUCACCCUCAUUUUACAGAUGAGGAGACUGAGCAGAGAGAGUUAAAGUUAUUUGCCCAGGGUCGUGUGAGGAGCUGGUGGCAGAGCUGGGCAUUCUGGCUCUAGAGUCUGCAUUUGCCCAUCUCCCCAUACAGUGUCAUACAAACAGGAAACGAGAAGAUAAACUGUAGGGCUACAUUUUGGAGACAGUAUUUCAACACUGUCAUAAUCUCAAGCAUGAUCUGUGCUUUUUGACUUGAACUUCUGUAAGGUUACUGGGAAGAUGAAGCUUUAGAGAAGACGGGACUGGCUUAAGGUCACACUGCAUGUCAGAAGUGUGGCGGAGGGUCCAGGUCUUCUGACCAUUCAGUACAAGCCAAAUUGCGCUAAUUCCCAAUUUUUCUCCUUUCUCUCGGUGAGUUGUUUAGUGCUACUUCUACUACUCAGGACCAAAGCUGGCUUUAAUGGUUUACUCAUGUGUUUAGUGAUGAAAUCCUGAAACUUGGGGCCAGUGAGUGUUCAGAGGUCCAUGUGAAGAUGCCCUGAAUGGUAUAGAUAAGGACCGAGCAGUAAAGAGCACCAGCUGAAUGCCUGGGCUGGGAAUCGGGCAUGUUGGAGUUUGGGUCCCAGCCUGCCAUUCCAGCUCUGUGACCAAGAGCAAGUCACAUACUCUUUCAAAAUGUCUAACCCCUCUUCUGAAAGACAAAGAUGCCACCACCAGCCAUGUUAGUGGUUGUAGAUGCCAAGAAAGUGCAUGUGAAGCACGUGUCACAGUAUCUGCAGUGGAGUAAGUGUUCCAAAAAUGGAGGCUGUGGUGAUUUCACAGAGUUCCCUUCCCAUCACUUUUCAGUUCAUUGUGGCUUUCUCCCUCAAAAGCACUCCAGUGUUCUGAUUCAGCUGAUAAAACACCAAACAUUCACAUAGUGCUUUAAAAGUGACCCACUGUUGGCCGGGUGCAGAGGCUCGUGCCUAUAAUCCCAGCACUUUGAGAGGCCGAGGCGGGUGGAUCACCCAACCAACAUGGCGAAACACCGUCUCUACUAAAAAUACAAAAAAUUAGCCGGGUGUGGUGGUGGACGCCUGUAAUCCCAGCUGCUUGGGAGGCUGAGACCCGAGGCAGGAGAAUCGCUUGAAACCAGGAGACAGAGAUUGCAGUGAGCCAGGAUCACACCACUGCACUCCAGCCUGGGCAAUAAGAGUGAAACUCUGUCUCAAAAAAAAAAAAAAGUGACGUACUGUUUUUAUAGACUUCAUUCCAUAUGACCCUAACAACCACUGCAGUAUAGAAAUUCACAUCUCCACUCUCCAGAUAAGUAUACCGAAGCUCAGAAAAUUAAACGAUUUGCCCAGGAUCACAUAGCUAGCAAGCAGCCCAGCCAGAUCCUGCAUUAACCUGUUCAUCCACUUCCUCUAAGAAAACAUCUGCUCAAGGCACAUGGGAUGACAGAGAAGGACUUAGCGUGAUCUGGCCCCCUCGUCAAGGCAGUACCAGUUGCCCCCCUAGUCUAGCCUGAAUACUCAAGUUAGGACUAUUGUGUCCAAUGUCCCAAACAUUUUGAGUAUACAUCUUCAAGACAUGCCCUGCUCAGAUGCAGUUUUCCUUGUGAAAUCCGCAAGCCCCAAGGGAAGUUACUUUAAUCUAGUUUGCUCAUGCAAGAACAGACUGGCAUUUCACAGCCAGGAAAACAAUGGACUUGUACUGCAGCUUUUGCCAUGCAAGGGUUCCUGGUGUGGUGUAUUAAUUCACAUCUCAGGCUCCAGCUUCGCUAUCAGAUUUGGAAGGGAAAAAAUGACAAAGCUUGCUGAGAAACAGCCUAAGCAUGACGGCACAGACCAGGUUUUGAAAUGGAGACACAUUCUCAUGGCUUAUGGGCUAAGAGACACUGAGAAAGGAUUUUGUUCUUGAAAGAUGAUUGUUUUAAUCCUGGAGAUGGAGCGUUUUGACACUUUUAAGUGCGUGUUCUGUGUGUAAGAGUCAUUACAGGUUUUUUUCUUUCAGAUCUUGCCAUGCCUUAAAAUUGCUGAUGAUUAAAAUAGAACAUCCUGAGUUACAGAAAUUCAGCCCUACUGUAUCCUGGCCUAAAAAUACAGAACAAUCAAGUUGAUUGUUGGAAAUUAGAGGCGAGGGAGGAUUGGAAACAUGCUAAUGUUUACUCAGUGAAAUCUUCCCUUCUCAGUGGAGUUGCCUUUGCAGCUGAAUGUCACUGAAAGACUCAACAAAAUAAGCGGAUCCCACUUGCCCUCACUCUCUUCUAUGCAUGCCCUGGAAAGAGAAUGAAUGAGCCCUUUUUGACUUAUCAGCUGGUUUUCUUCCAUCUCCUUACUAGUGAGCCAUGGAGGUGUUUUGCUGUUAACUGGGUAGCCAGUCUCUUCGUGCAGACUUAUUUUCAGGAAACUGGCCUCUUGCUUUAUGUGAAAACAGGGACCCGAUUCAAGAUGCCUAUCACAGUGUGUUCUGUUAUGUAACAGCUGCAUCUGUAGUCCAGCCUAAAUACUCACGUUGGGAUUGUUGUGUCCUGAGGUCUCUUAACAUUUCGAAGCUACAUUCUUAAAGAAGUGUCAUGCUCAGAGAGAGUUCUCCUUGUGAAAUCCUCAAGCCCCAGGGGAAGUGACCUUAAGCCAGUUUGCUCUUGCAAGAACAGACUGGCAUUUCAUGUCACAGAAAACAAUGGACUGCCACUACUCAGCUUUUGCCACACAGGAGUACCUGGUGUGGUUACUACCUGCCAACUGAGUACCCCACUGUCUCCCCAAGGACAUAAAAGCAAUGUGGGAAGGUAUUCCAAAUGACCUUGUCAAACUGCUAAAAUUGAAGACCCAUAGAUGCAAAAUAUUAUAUCUUACCUUUAUUCUUCUGCUGCUGAUUUUUUUUUUUUUUUUUUUUUUUUGAGACAGAGUCUCACUCUGUCACCCAGGCUGGAGUCCAGUAGUGUGAUCUUGGCUCACUGCAACCUCUGCCAUCCGGUUCAAGCAAUUCUCCUGCCUCAGCCUCCCGAGUGGCUGCGAUUACAGGUGCGCACCACCACACCCAGCUAGUUUUUGUAUUUUUAGUCGAGAUGGGGUUUCAAAACCUUCUUGGCCAGGCUGGUCUUGAACUCCUGACCUCAUGAUCCAACCACCUCGGCGUCCCAAAGUGCUGGGAUUACAGGCAUGAGCCACUGCGCCAGGCCUUUUUUUUUUUUUUUUUUUUUUUUUUUGGCAACAGAGUCUGGCUCUAUCACUCAGGCUGGAAUUCAGUGGUACAAUCUUGCCUCACUGCAACCUCUGCCUCGCAGGUUCAAGUGAUUCUUCUGCCUCCGGCUCCUGAAAAGCUGGGAUUACAGGCAUAUGCCACUAUGACCAGCUUUUGUUUGUUUGUUUUUUGGAUUUCUUUUAGUAGAGAUUGGGUUUCACCAUGUUGGCCAGGCUGGUCCUGAACUCCUGACUUCAAGUGAUCCACCCACCUCAGCCUCCCAAAAUGCUGGGAUUACAGGUGUAAGCCACCACACUCAGCCUUCUGUUGAAUUUUUGAGAAGCAUACAUAAAGACAAUAUAAAAAACACUUAGCAUGUUUUUUGUCCCUGCUAAGGGCAUGAUUGAAUAUAUAGUGUGAGUAUUUGGUGUAUGAAAUAUAUAUGAUCUUAUCAGACAGAAGAAAGAAAUUCAUUCUUCAGGAAAGAUUUUCCCCAAAACUGAAGUGUCAAUUAUUUGACAAAAAACUUCCAGGCAGUAGGCAAACACUGUGACUAGGUAUUUAUCAAAAAUAAGCCAACUUUGGAGUAUUGUAACUAAUGAGAAUAAUCUGGCUGCUUCUUGUGUACGUCAGUCACUGACAUUACACUGUGAAUUACACUAGCAUAUACAGAAGGAUGCAGGGGGUCCCUAAAGGAAUAACAGUUAGUGAAACCAUUAUUUGAGAGUUGCAGUGAACUGGCACUUUUCCCAGUUUCAAUGCUUAAAUUUACUAUGCACUUGAAAUGUGUCACUGCCUGUCACUUCACCAAGUAUGUGCCUUUCAUUGCAGUCAACAAGCUAUUUACCUCUUUGAUGAAUGACUGCCACACAUCUCCAUAGCCCUGGUGUUCUAUUCCCUUAUUCACAGAGAUUUUUUUUUUAAUUAGCCUAGCAGCAAUAGAUAUGUGCCUGGAUGCUUCUCCAUGUUAAAGGAUGAGUUUGUGCUGGGAUCUCCUCAUGAAGAAAUAACUGGCCAAGCCCAUGAGGAACAAGAAUGUUACAUUAAUCCAACCCAAGGUAAACAGCCUGCAGUGCACCUCCUGACAGAUUAGCACUGAACCCACGUGAAAUCAUUAACCCCAGGCACAUGGUAAUUAGAUGUUCUCUUUUUUAUUUUGAGACUGGAGUCUCGCACUGCUGCCCAGGCUGGAUGGGGUGCAGUGCUGUGAUUUUGGCUCACUGCAACCUCCACCUCCUGAGUUCAAGUGAUUCUCCUGCCUCAGCCUUCCAAGUAGCUGAGAUUAUAGGUGCCUGCCACCUUGCUUCUAAAUGAUGAAGCUGAACCUUUGUCUGGGCAAUUUAAGAAUAAGGGGAGCCGGGCGCAGUGGCUCAUGCCUGUAAUCCCAGCACUUUGGGAGGCCAAGGUGGCUGGAAUCACCUAAGGUCGGGAGUUUGAGACCAGCCUGACCAAACUGGUCUCAAACUCCCGACCUUAGGUUAGAGAGGAACCCCGUCUCUACUGAAAAUACAAAAUUAGCCGGUUGUGGUGGCACAUGCCUGUGAUCCCAGCUACUUGGAAGGCUGAGGCUGGAGAAUCACUUGAACCCAGGAGGUGGAGGUUGUGGUGAGCCAAGAUCUCACCAUUGCACUCCAGCCUAGGUAACAAAAGCAAAAACUCCACCUCAAAAAAUAAAAUAAAAUAAAAUAAGGGGAGUCCCAGGCAUGCUCCCCCAUCAGUAACAAAUUCGGUGACGUCAGUCUAUAUGAAAUUUGCCAAAGCUCUGUUUAGACCACUAACUCACAACUAGAUUUCAACUUUUCCUUUCUAGAUUGUCUUGGGUUUAUUGUAAGAGAGGAUUCUGAAGAAAAAAUAGACCAUAAAGCUUCUUCAGGAAGCUGGUUUCAUAUGGUGGUUUAGAUUUAAAUAGUGAUUGUCUAGCACCAUUUGAAAUCAGUGUUCUUGGGGGAGACCAGCUGCGCUGCACUGCCAACAGCAAAAGGAAUGAAUGGGACAGCUCUGAAGUAUUUGAGAGCAAAAGCAGGACGGCUGUGAGAACGUGCCUCCCAUGUAGCUGACCCGUUCCUCACCCCUGCCAACAGUGGUGGCAUAUGCCAUGAAUGGCAGUCAAGUCUCCACAUGAGCGGAUCCAACCGUGAUCGAAAGUUUUCCAAAAAUACGUUGCGUCUGUACUGAACAUGUACAGACUUCCUUCUUGUCAUUAUUCUCUAACGAUACAGUGUAACAAUUUGCAUAGCAUUUGCAUUGCAUUGGGUAUUACAAGUAAUUUAGAGCUGAUUUAAAGUAUAUAGGAGGAUGUGUGUAGGUUGUAUGCAAAUAUUCCACCAUUUUCUAUCAGAGACUUGAGCAUCUGUGGAUUUUGGUAUCCAAGGGGCUUUCUGGAACCAGUCCCUUAAGGAUACCAAGGGACGAGGGUAACUGUACAGGAUGUCUCAUUAUUGGCAUUUUAUAUUUGUUUGUGGAAUAAACCGACAGCACUUAAUGGAUAGUAACAGACUCAUUCCAUCGCGCCUUGGUUAAAGGGCCAAGGUUUGGGCCCUCUCAACCCUCACGUCCUCCUGUGACCCCUUAGAGGAUGACUGAUUUCUUUUGGUGUUCAGAGUCAAUAUAAUUUUCUAGCACCAUCUGAAAUCGGUUAUAAUGACUGGGGAAGAGCACCACGAUGCUGACUGAUGAGAGGAGAAAUGUAUUGGUGACCCUUGGGGCCACAGAUAAGUACUGAGAAAACAAAUGCAAAGCAAUAAUGCAAAGGUGGUUUUUCUUCUUCCAGUUUCUAAGCUGAGUUUCAUUGACCUGAAUUGCAUGUGGUAUAAUACUAACAAAUGGUUAUUCUUUAUAGAAAUUCCACAGAAUUGGUGGGGGUUUUGUUUUGGUGACGGAUACCUAGAAACACUCCUUGGAAAAAUCAAUGAUCGCCUUAGAUGAUAGGAAAGGAGCAGCGAGGGACUCGAUUCUGUUGUGGCCGAGAAGCUGCACCCACUGUCUCUGAACUCUCUUGCCGGGCUGAGGAGCUCCCUCCAUGGUUAAAGAGAUCAUUUUCUUACAUAAGGAAAAAUGGUCCAGAGAAACUGGGUUUCUAUGGCUGAGAGAGAACUGUGCUAAUCUGUCAGUUCAGUUUAGAAGGCAAAGCGAAGAAAGCAGGUUCUACUUGAACUAGGAUCCUAGAAUAUACCUUUGCUAUGGUUUGGAUGUUUGUCCUCUCCAAUCUCACGUUGAAGUGUGAUCCCCAGUACUGGAGGUGGGGCCUGGCAGGGGGUGUUUGAGCCAUGGAGUAGAUCCCUCAUGAAUGGCUUGUGCUGUCCUCACUACUGAGUUCCUGCUCAGUUAGGGGGAGCUGAUUGUUUAAAAGAGCUGCAGGCUGGAUGUGGUGCCUCCUGCCUGCAUCCCAGCACUUUAGGAGGCUGAGGCAGGAGGACUGCCUGACGUCAGGAGUUCGAGACCAGCCUGGCCAACAUGGUGAAACCCUGUCUCUACUAAAAUACAAAAAAAAUUAGCCAGGCAUUGUGGCAGGUACCAGUAAUCCCAGCUACUCGGGAGGCCAAGGCCAGAGAAUUGCUUGAACCCAGGAGGUGGAGGUUGCAGUGAGCUGAGAUGGCGCCACUGCAUUCCAGCCUGGGGGACAAGAGUGAGACCCCAUAGGAGCUGGUACCUCCUUCCUUUCUCUUGCUGUUUCUUGCUCCCUCUCUCACCAUGUGACACCCGUUUCCCGCUCCGCCUUCCACCAUGAAUAAAACGUCCCGAGACCUCACCAGGAGCUGAGCUGAUGCCAGUGUCAUGCUUGUACAGCCUGCAGAACCGGGAGCCAAAUAAACCCUCUUUCCUGGAUAAAUUACCAGUCUCGGGUAUCUCUUUAUAGCAGCACAAAACGGACUGACACAACCUCACUAGAAGUAAAAUCAUUAGCCUGAAAACAAUACUGAGUUUUCUGGGUCCGCUACGAGGCAUUAAAAAAAACGGCUUAGGAAUGAGCCAUCUCAGCCGCUCGGGGGCCCCUGAGUGCAUCUCCCAACACAGGUACUGUGCAAACUUGCCGCCUACCGCCACCUGCUGUCUUCUUGUGGUAUCCUGGAGAACAGCAGGGGCACCUGGUGGAAUUCAGGCCUUGUCCUUGUUUUCUUUCUGGCCUGGAAAAGCCACUGGCCUCACGAUCAAGAGAUAAUAUCCAUCUACCCUUCUUAAGCUUUCCCCACCUCUCACACCACCUCCCUCCUUUCCCCUCCUGCCUGUCACUUGUCUGGAAAAGUUGUUUUCUCCUCCGGGCUAAGACAUGCAGUUUGUAACCAAAACAUUCUACCAGCAAAUCCAAUGAGAAUCAGGAUCAUCCCGCCACAUCUUUUUCUGUCCUAUGGUUAUUAUUUUCCCAAAACUGUCUUUUGCCUUCUUACCUAUCUGCUGUUUUCUGAGUAAUCUUAUUUACUCCCCUGGUUCCAAAUACAUCCCUGUGUGUUCAGUUCCCUCAAACCAGAGCUCUAGCCUGGGAUAUUUUUUGAGACCUCUUGCUUUUUAUAUUUUUAGUGGCUCCUAAAGAUAAUAGUUUAGCCUGCUCUUCUAAACUUACCUCAGUUUAACCCAUUUACACCUGAGGUUGCAAUUCUUUGAAUUUUUGCCACCAGGCCUUGGCAAUGACCUUGAACAGUAGGACAUAACUCCCACAUGCUUAGCGUUCCAAUAAUGGAACACUAGGCAUAUAGCCAAAGCCAUCCACAUUGUCCUCUCCCCAAAGCCAGCUCUCCCUGCUCUGCCCCAUGAUGAAAGCUGUGAAUACCUUAUGUCUGUGGCCUCUUCCUUCUCCCUCACCCACAUCCACACUCAGCAUAACUAACUUGUUGCUGUUCUCUCCCAAUUCUCUCUUUUCCACCCCUUUCUCUGCUCCUCCUAGACGGCUUUCUGGGCCUGCCCCUCACCAUGAGUCUAGCUUUGCUGGAGCCACCAGUUAAUCUUUGUAAAAUACAUACGUGAGCUGAGUGCUAUGGCUGGUGCCUUUAAUCCCAGCUACUUGGGAGGCUGGGGCGGGAGGCUGCUUGAGCCUAAGAGGUUGGCUGAGGCUGCAGUGAGCCACGAUCGCAUCACUGCACUCCAGCCUGGAUGUCUUAAAAAAAAAUCGUUUAACUACAUGACCUUGCUCUUUGUCCCUCACUUUUAGCUGAACUCUUUUAAGUGUCCCAACCUGGUACCAGACCCUUCAUGACCUCACGCCUGCCUGUAUUACCACCUCCUGGCUGUGCUUCCCGGGGCCUGCUUUCUGUGCUCACCCAGCUGCUUGCUGCCAACACUCAGGUACCUUGGCAUUUCUCAGCCUGUGUCUCUGCUGUUUCCUCUGCCCACAUCUCCCCUCUCCUCAACCUCCUCAUCAUCUAGGGACCGUCAUCAGCUAGGGACCUCCAGCCUGCAGCUCCUGGCUCAGGUGUAAACUUGUCAAGUAAGCCUUCCUCUGCCUUUCACAUCAAGGCUUAGAGCCCUGGCAAGGGUUUUCUUUUCUGUGCCCCUUCAGAGCUUGAGAGCACUUCCUGCAUUACACUCCGAUGACUGAUUACCUACUAGGCUUUUCUGCAAGGCUGGAAGAUCCUUGCUCCUGGGAGGAACGGGUCUCACCUCACUCCCAUCGCCCAGGCUGGAGUGCAGUGGUGUGAUCACAGCUCGUGCAGCCUUGACUUCCCAGGCUCAAGUGAUGCUCAUAUCACAGCCUCCCAAGUAGGUGAGACUACAGGUGUACACCACCAUGCCCAGCUAGUUUUUUGUAUUUUUAGUAUUUACCUCCAUUCUACAGCUGUUAAAACAGGCCUCAGAAGGAAGAACAGCUAUCUUGGACUGAGAACAGCUUUCCUUGGUCAGUGAAGGCUGGGAGCUCUAGCAUUUUCUCUCCUCCAGUCCGUCUGGGUAUAAUGGCCACCCACUGUAGUGGGCUUUGAUUUUUUUCCAAGAAUGGAGCUUGGAACCCCAUGGAAAUUGUGUUUUGUUAGUAAGCUGAUGGAAGGAUUUUUUGGCAUUGAUUUUAAAUUACCAUAGUCUACUUCUCGUGAAGCUCCACACCCCUCAUUUACUCUCUCUCUCUUCUCUUUAAGGGCCAAGGAACAAAGUAUAGCCAACUGUUUCGAAGCCACCCUGUUUUGAAAAGGCUUUUUCCACUCAGGUGGCCUUGCGCCGAAUGGCCAACCCUGCCCACUGUAUGAAAACAAUAGAUGCUGCCUUAGAAGGGAGCAAGCUGGCACUGCCCUGGUAUGUGGGUGCGGCCAGGAAGAUUUGGGCCAAACUGUGCAGACUUGCUGUCUCAGGAUUAGCACUUUCUACAGCCAGAGCGGAGACGAGGGAUAGUCAGCAUCCAACCCUUCCUCCUGGAGAUGAAAGGGGUCUGUAGAUGGACAAGGCCCUUGUUCCCCAAGUCACAGGACGAAGUCAGGAGAAGGAUAGAAGUCAAAAAGGAGGAGGAAAUGGUGCUGCUCCUAUCACCUAUAAAUUCUGCAUCCAUGAAAAGAAAAGUCCGCAAAUUAUGGCCCUGAACCAAUCUGUAUCAACCCUGAACAUGUUGGGUGCCACCCACUGGGUUGGGCAGAAGAUGGUGCAGGCCUGGCAGAAGUUGGUAAGGAACACUGUGCCAGAGGCUUGGUGUGGCAGGAGGUGACAGGACAAAGGUACCAGAGGAUGCCAGCUGGGCGCCAGCCUUCUUAGCUGUCAGAACUGGUCUUGGAAAAAAAGGAUGGCCGCCGGGUAUGCUUUCGUAGGAGGCAUUUUUACUGUUGCAGACAGCUGCCUCUCCUUCCUUCCUGUGACUGAACAGGCCAGAGGGGAAGGUCAAGGGCAGGCAGGAGAACAGGGACAAAAGCAUAAAGUGUGGAUUGUACACGGACUUCUGUUCUAAUCCAGCUCACUUACCGACUUACUGUGUCAAAAAACAAAAACAUUAGAAACUUGGAUGGAAAAGAGGCUGGCACAAAUGCAAAUAAUAUGAGCUGAGUUCCAAAAGAAAAGAGACAACAGAUAAGAGAUUCUCGUUGAUACUCUACCUGUGAAUGACUUUGCAAUUGGCCUUGGGAAGGGUCCUGAUGGGCAUGGAAAAAUAAAAAUAAAAAAACACUAGCUCUAUUUUCUCUAUAUAGAAGUGAAGGUCAAUAGGAGUACCAUGUUGAAAUGUCUGGGAAGUGAAAGUGACACAGAAAAAGAGGACUUGUGGGUAUAUGCAUUGGCCUUUUUUAUCUGAAGGUGCAACAGCCAGUGAAGAUGGGCUGCCUUCUGGGUCCCUGGCUGCUCCUGAGCUCAUGCCUCUGUCCUAGCAGCAAGAGCCCCUCAGGGCUGUAGAAUGUGAGUCCAAAAGACCAGACACGUGAUGCACUCCUCUGCUUUCUGAAGCAUAGGAUCAGCCCUUAGAAGCAGCUGUUUGCCUCUCCUUUAGUAGUUCAAGAAUUCAGUUCAGUAAAAAUUUAUUGAGCACCUACCCUGCUCUAGGCACCAACAGGGGGUUUCCCUGUACUAUGCCCAGAACUUUGCUCCUCAGGCCUUUCUCAGCUCAGGAUAUUGGCUUAAGCAGCUCAACUGAUUGCAAGUGCCACCCUUCCCAAGGGGUUUCCCUUAAAAACCCACGCUGCUCUCCUAGACAAAGUUAAUGUCUGGCUCAACAUGCCACACCUCUCUGAAGUCCUUAAGUUCUGAGAAAGGAAUCCCAGAAGGGAUGCAGGACUCUUCAUGAUGCUGAAUGAGAGGCAAGACCCUCUGCUCCUGUUGCUCGCCAGUGUUCUCCCAGGUCCCCUAGAGGAAAGGCUCGUCCUCCUAAACCAAUCCCUGGGCAUCCCUUUGUUUGUGCCAAUUCCACACACUAAUCUCUCUGCCCUGUUUGCAGAUGCUGGUGGGAUGGAGCUGCAGUUUGUGUCUGUGGAGCAGAUUAAACACUGUCUGCCCCAGCCUAUCUUAACUGUCUUCUCACUGGUUAGCAGUCCUUGGAAGAACAAACAAUCCAUCCAAGCUACCAGAAAGCAGAAGUUCCAUGAUUCGUGACCAGAGUCUCACAGCACAGUAAAAUUCAUCUCUACAAACGCGUUUAUGGCUGAACAGACUUCACCAACUCAGAGGGCCUUCUGGAUUCUAAGCUGACUGCUGUUCCCUGAGCUUGUGACCACUGCAGCCAUCUCAACACUAGAGGACACUCCAAGCCCAGGCUUGCCAUGAGUUUCAUGAGGACUCUGAGGUUGACAAUGGCUUUCCAGCCCAGAUGGACCUAAGGAAGACCCAAGAAGGAUACUGGACUGAGGGACCUGAGUCCAGAAAACUGUCCUGUGGCCCAGACAAGUGUGUCUCCUAGCAGCUCUCUGCAGUUCUCAACUGCAGCAAGAGGAGAUGGAAUUGAGACUGGACCACGUCAGGAUCUGCUGUGGGAAGGAGCUGGUGGGCCUAUCUUAUUGUCUCCGAUGUGCAUGCAUCACCCAGCUGGUCUCUGUAUGAGUGGGGUAGUUCCUAGACUGCAGUAGUAGGGGCUAGAGCUGAGACUGGGCCCCAUCAUGGACUCUGCUAUGAGAGGCUGGAGAGCCCAAUCUCAGCUCAGAGAGGUUCAUGUCACCCAGCAAGUUUCUGCACAAAUAAGAUAGUUUCUCAUCUAGAGUAGGAGGGGCUGGAGCUGAGACUGGGUCUCCUUGAAAUCUGCUGUGGGAUGGAAGCUGAAGAGCCUGUCUUAUUGGGGCAGAAAAGGACACAUCUCCCAUCAGGUCUCACAACAAAUAGGAUAGUUCCCUGGUUGCUGCAGAGGGCAGGGUGGAGCUAAGACUGAGCCCACUUGGGAUUUCCUAUGAGGCAGAGGUUGGCAAAUGUGUUUGGGACGCUCAGGCUUUUGGGUUGUGGGAUACAGGCAAGUCUCCCUCUGGGUCCUUGUAUAAGCACCUCUGAACUGAAACAUCAGCUGAGAAAGGCUGGAGCAGAACCACAGGGCCACUUUCAGAUUCACUGCUGAGACCGAUGCCGGUGGGCAGACAAGGCUUUCUGCCAAGGCACUAGUAUGCACAAUUUCUUCUGGACUCCUUGGCAGACAGUUUUGGUUGCAGGCUCAAGGCCAAACAGGGCUGUAGCCAAGUCUCAAUCCCACAGCACAGAUACCAAGGGGUCCCAGUCUCAGCUCUGGCCCCUCCUGCUGUAGUUGGGGAAUUAUCCUAUCUACACAGAAACUUGCUUGGCCAUUUCCAGGCAUGAACCUGGAAGUAAGCUCAGAAAAUCAGCUGACCUGGCUGUUGGUCUGUACUCUCAAAACAACCUCCUAGUCUUGAGCCCUCUCGGGGCUUCACAAACUCCUACCUGAAUCCUGGGGCUUCCACUGACAGACUUUUGAUUGUAGACUUGACAAUAAUUCUUGUACCCAUCUUGUCGUUGCGGGUAUGAGCAGGUUACCUUCUAUUUUGCCAUCUUGGCAAUGACACUCAGUAAAUGUUUUUUUUUCAUGUUGAUUUUCUGAUCCUGCUAAUCUGUGAAAUGGAGAGAGACGACAUAUCUCUUAGCUGUGUUAAUCCAAAUAUCUGAGUUAUCAGCCAAGACAAGGUAAGAAUCUAACUUCAAGGGCCCUGGAGGAAGAUCCCCUGCCUCUGCCCCCCACUUCUCGAUGGUUCUUUUAAGAGAAAAGAUACCACUUAUGGAAGUACAGACUGACUCAGAAAUUGGAGGACACAGUGGAAGGGAGCUAACAUCUAAUAAGACCCCCAUGUGUCAGGCAUGAAAAUACAAGCUCUCAUUUCACCCUCACGGCAACUCGAAGGUGAGAGUGUCCAGCUCCCUUUCAUAAGUGCAUGUACACAAGCAUGGAUGUGGUGCACAGUGCUGACGUCUGCAUUGCAUCCAUAAUGUUGAGGGAGGCCAUUCUUGUUAAUAAUCAAGUACUCGCCUCGUGACAAAAUACAUGCUUUCCUAAAGAAGUAUAUGAAGUCACAGAUCAAAGCCUCCUUAUCUGCAGUUUAUAUUUAAGAACUUAGUAGUUCCAGGCAUGGUGCUAAGCACUUUACCUAAUCUCACUCAAUCUUCACAACAAACUCUGCAAAACACAUAUGUUAUUAGCCCCAUUUUCAGGCUAAGAUAUGGAGAUUUGGUGAGGCUGAGUAAUAGGGCUGCACAACUACUAAGUGGCAGAGUCAGGAUUUGAACUCAUCUCUGCCUGACUUCCAAGGAUCUCCUCAGACAUAAGCAAAAUCACAAUAGAGAAAAUACUUAAAUUAUAUAUUGGAAGGAAAAUAUUAUUUCCUUUAAAAAUAAACAGAAUCAAAAUUACUGAGGUCCCAUCAAAGUUUCUCUGUCACCCUACAAGUAGAGAGUGGGAAAUCAGAGGGACAGUCAGAUUUAUGUUUUGUUCCUUGAUUUCCUGCCAUGCUCCUUCAGGAUAUACAGUUGCACUGUCUUCUUAUUAAAAACUCCUAUGGAAUAGAUCAGACCUGAAUAUGGAACCUGAAUAGAUCAAGUUUUUUUCCCCCUCAUUUCAGGCUUAGAAUCUAGCAAAGUUAGAAGGGAAAUCCUUCCACUGGGCAUGUAAAAUUUUAAAACAAGCCCGUGGGAUGACUUUCUUUGCUUCUCUGACCUAUACUAGAAUCAUGUAUAAAAUGGAAACGGUAAUAAAUGAAUAUAACCAAGUGACAGAGACACACAUCUGCACACCCACUGUCUUUGUGUCCUAAUGCUGACACAGUGCAGCUGUAGUAUCAGUGACACGGUGUUCCUGGAAAGUUGAUCAAUGAUUCCCUUCCACAGUUCAGGCUUUAUUAUAGGAGGUAUUAGUUAGCUCAUUACUAUUAGUCAAAUACCUUGGUGUGCCUUCUUCAAGAGCUCCUUUAAAUGCUCCUCUUUUAUUCUACUUUGAAGUCCCAAAAGCAGAUGCUGCUUUUAUGGAAAAACCUAAUUGCUGUGGAAUCUAAUGUAUGUCCUACUUCCAUACCCAAACCUCCGCCUUCCUGUUUAAUGGACAGCAUUCUCAUGACUCACAUUUGAUUUAUGGGCUGGAAGGCGCCACACCUUUUUCUGGUCCUGUCUGCACAUAUUGUUAAGUGUCAUCAACUCUGGAAAAAAGCAUUCAUGGGUUAGUUAUGUCAAUAAUAUGAGACAUUAAAAGAGACUUGUCCUACAAACAAAAUAGUAAAUGACAAAUGCAAGGUUUUGUAGUCCUGUGUGCCUCUCUGCUGCACCCUAGAGCCUAUGAUUGUUCUCUUCAUGUUUGCAGCACGAGGCAUCCCUGAAGCUCAUCAUUACAUAGCAUGUUCCUCAUUAAUAUCUGUCCACUCUAACAUUUUCAAUUCUUUUUGGAUUAGCAAAAAGGAACAAAGAGAAGUGAAAUUUAGAUACCUAAUCAGUAGUGUAAAAUAACAAAACAGUAGCCUAUAAAGCAAUGGGAUGUGGGGACUGUGUUCUGUGAUGGCAGUUGUUUUGGAUGGCUCAUAGCUCUGAAUAAUUUCCCAGCAUUCAUCCAAUUUGAUGCUACUAUGAAAAAAUAAUGUCUAUAAAAUCCACAUCCCAAAUAACUCUUAUUGCAGAUAAUUCCCUUCUUCCACUUUCCCAGUCUAACAGAAUACAAGUUUGUUCAGAGAAUGAGAGAAAACCUAUCCCAUUAAAUCUUUGCCUAGCACAUACGGUGCCCUGUGACACAGGUCUGGUUAGUGAUGCUGACAAAAGGCUUCUAGGUAUUUACAGGAAAACUCUUGCAUUUCUGCUCAAACACUGCUCCUUCCACCUUGAGUGUCGGUGUGAAGCCUAGAGCUGCAGCGGCCAUCUUGCAACCGUGAGACGAGGAACGUGAGAAUGACAGCCUACAGCUAAGGGUGGCAGAGAAGGAUGGCAGGAGCCUGGAUCCAGGAUGGCACCAAUGCUUCCUUUACUAGCUUCAGACUUCUUAUUGCUUGAAAUAAAUGCCCAUCACACUUAAGUCACUGUUACUCUGGUUCUUUGUUGCUUGCAGGUAAAGAGUAUAACAACCAAUACAGUCUUACACACACCUUAGCUUCUGUUUCUGAAUUCCCCAAUUAAACCUAUACAUUUCUCUUAAAUUCAGAGAGAAGCUAAGUAGCCAUGUUGCCUUUAUUUGGGGUCUGGGCAUUGACACUCCACAACAGCCUCUUGCUUUCAUUACAAUUAACUCUAGUGCUAGAUAAAUACUGGAGUUAAAUGGGGGGGGGGAAUAAUAUUAGAAACAGGACAACUGUGUAUAAAGUCAAUGGAAUUGUAUGUGUUAUGCAACCCUUGUUAUGGCUGAAUAAUGUACAACAGAAUAUUAUUCAGCCAUUAAAUGAAUGAGGACUGACUGAUUCAUACUACAACAUGGGCAGACUUUGACAACUUUAUUCCAAGUGACAGAAGCCAGUCACAAAAGAGCACAUGCUGUGUUACAUAAUUUAUAUGAAAUGUCAAGAACAGGCAAAUCGAGACAGACAAAAAGCAGAUUAAUGGUUAUCAGGGGCUGGGAGGACAGGGGAUGGGAAGUGGCCACUUAGCUGGUACAGAAUUUCCUGUUCUGGAAUUAGGUAGUGAUGGUGGUUACACAAUAUUGUGAAUGCACCAAAAGCCAUGAAGUGUAUACUUUUAAAUGGCUAAAAUGAUGAAUUUUAUGUUAUGUGAAUUUUACCUCAAUAAAAAGUCAUUUAACUAUGCCA